rnacentral:lncRNA from 1 species
CUUUUGUGGUAUUUCUGGAUCCUUACCAAGGCAGUGAUGGUAUAUGCCUUCUCUCAAAAUAUGUGGUAUUUUAUGGUAUAAAGCAUAAUGACAUUGCCUUCUCUCUCACCCUACUCUAAUAAGGCUUUAAUAUCUGGAGCUCAUAGGUGUGAGGUAAAGUAUACAUACUUACAAGACAUUUAUUGCAUAGUCAAACCAUGGAUCCAAAGAAACAAAUCAUUAAGUCAAAUCAAGAUGUGCAUGUGUGGCGAAUGAAUGGUGAUGAUGGUGAUAACAAUGGUGAAAGUCUAAUUCUACUUUUUGCUCUUUGAGGGGAUACAUACCUUCCUUGCUUUCUGAAACUUUAUGAGGAGAAUGAGAUGCUCUUCUUUUUCUUUUCUCUCAGGUGGUUAUCUUGUACCCCUAAUUAUACUGUCGGACACUUGUCCAUUUUUACCUCUCGUCUCACUUUUUCUUUUCUUUCGAGGUUCCGGGCACUUGCCCCUUUUUAUUUCCUCGUAUCUUUUCUUCUUCGUUUUUUUUCAGAGCACUCAUCUCUUGAGAUAAUAUAGCAAGUGGUAGUAACAAGAUAACUUGUGCAUUUAUUUCACAGGGGAAAAACAGAAAUAUUUUUGGCUAUUCCCUCCCGGAUUAGGAGUAGAAUAUUUUUGGGUGGUUCUGCAGAUGGAAAUGAGUGGAUAUAUAUGGAUGGUACUUCCGGAGUAGAAGUAGCAUAUGUGAGUGAACGUGCAAGUGAAUCUAGAUUUUAACCACAUGACAAGCUCCUAAGGGUCUACAUAGCUUGACCACACUCAAUGCUCAUAAGCAAUAAAUAGUAAAUGUGUGGCUCAAAGUCUAGCAAGCAUGUAUAUAUGGCUGUGGUAGGAAUUUAAAUUCUCAUCAUACAGGAACUCAUCAUGCAACAUUUUAAAGAUUUUCAAAGAUAAAAUUCUCUAGAAUUCUAGCAUCUCUAGGAACAAAUAAACAGCAGCUCAAGCUUCCCAUAUCAUAUCCGUUAGCAACUUAGACUUUAGAUCAAGUUUUCAUCCCACAAGUUCAGGUUCAGAGCAAGCUUUAAAUUAUAAUAGUUAUGUCUAAACUUGAGAGAGAACUUCAAAUUUUAAAAAAUAAGCAGAGCAACUAUUCAUCAUAUCCAUGCUUGAGUUUUAUUAUUAAGAUUCAGAUUAGCAUAGACACUUUAUUUAUUUAUUAAACACACUAAGCAAAAGGCAUAUAUAUAAGCAUAAAAUCUUUAUUUGGUUUUUCAUAGUUAUGUAUAUCUAUAUUUUAAUAUAGUAUAAGUAUAAAGAUAGAUAGGUAGAAAUACUUAUCGGGAUAAAUGUGGGUGCUCUCCCCAAGUUGAAUUUUGACGUAAUUUCUCUUGAUGUAGCUAGCAGGUGGCAAAGGUGUAUUUGAAAGUCAGCAGCAUUAUCACAGCGAUUAGAAUGUCCUCCGUCUGCUAGUCUUCUUGAUUCUUAAAUUCUGUGGAGCUCAAAUAGACAACAAAGCUUGUGGAACUGAUUAAGUCUUAGCAUAAAUAUCUAGCCUUUAUCAUGUUGAGACUCCUUAAUAAAUAUUACUCCCUAUUUUUAUAUUUUUAUUUUAUAAAGCAGAAAAAAUAUUUUUAUUUUAUUUUUAUGCCACCACAGUGAAUGUACUUAUGGGUUUUAUGCCACUCGUAUACUCGCAUGGGGCUUACUAUUUUUCACAUUUUUAUUUUCUUUUUAGGAUAAUAUGAACUUAAUUAACUAAGUAGACUAUUUAAAAUAAUUUAAAGGGAAAGGAUAACUACCAAGUUUACCUCUUGGCAAGGCGUUCAGUGUUUUUAAGUCCUCCGAAUGGGACUCUCCGUUUUCUCAAUUGUCCUGGGAUUCUUUGGGUGGCGUAGUCGGUACUUCCGGUGGCGCCUCCUCUUCAGGUAUAGUUAUCUUCUCUUUCCAUACCUGACUCGGUGCUACGGUCUCCUCUGGAUAAUUCUGUUUAAACUGUACUUCUUCUGACCUUACAACUUCUCCUUCAUAGUCUGCCCAUCCGUCCUUGAUGAUUUGCCUCCUCUGGUUACGGUUGCGUCAUUUUCUUACCUGCUUAGAUUCUUCAAAGAUGUAGUUAGGGUCAGUAAAAUAACAGCAUACCUUCUCUGAGGGGAAGUGCAUAUGGGCUUCUCCGGUUCCAAUGUAGAUGAUUGCUUUAACGGUGCUGAGGAACGGUCUUCCAAGGAUGAUGGGUGGAUCGUAUUCGUCUUCUCCCAUGUCAAUAACCUGAAAGUCUGUGUAGACAAAAUGAUCGUCUAUUUUGACUGGGACAUCAGUUACCGUAUCUUUAACUUCUCGAAACGUCUGAUCUGCCAUCUGGAGCUGAAUGUAUGUUGGUUUUAGGGGCAUGGUUCCGAACAAGAGUCGAUAGGUGACUGCGGCCAUUAUGUUGACGCCCGAUCCGGUGUCGCAAGUCGUCUUGUAGAAGUAGUAUCCAUUUAUGGAGCAAUAGAUGCUUGGCAUUCCUGGGUCGUCCUUCUUGGUCAAAAAUGGUGACUUAAGUUGUUGAUCUUGACCUCCAUGAACUGCAGUGACCACCUUAGCUGACUCGGUCCACACUUGCUUGUUCCUGUUCCUCCUGUUGGUCCUCUUCCUUGAUUCACGUCUGGAUUGAUCUGGGAUUUGUGUAGUCUUGUUCUUGAAGAAAAACGUCUCCUUCCUCCCUUUGAUGUAGAAACUGAUCUUGGCAGCACUGGCGUAGAUGACAGCUCCCGAGGUGUUUAAGAAUGGCCUCCCUAGGAUGAUAGGUGCCCUCUCAUCAUUACUGGUCUCUAUCACCACGAAGUCUGCUGGGGCAUAUAAGGUACCAACUCGGACAAAGGUUCUUCAAUAUUCCUUUUGGAAAACUUAUCGUCUGAUCUGCAAACUACAAACACAUGGUUGUUUCUGAUAAAGGAUAUGUAAAGAAUUUUUCAUAGAGUACCCUGGGUAUAAUGUUGACGCUAGAGCCAAAGUCGCAGAGUGCUUCUGGGACGUCCACCAUGCCGAUGGAGAUCGGGAUGACGGGGCGUCCUGGAUCGCCUCUCUUGACCGGCAGAAGGUCAGUAGUGAAUUUAGUGACGGGUUACUCCAAUUACCUGCAUCAAACAUGUCUACAAGAUUUACAGAUUCUAAUCCUUCCGGUUGUGAUGGUAUACCAGGUUUAGUAGCAGGAACAGCAACAACUAUUUGAUUUAAUUGAUAUUCAAUCAUUUUAUUAAAGCUAAUUUGAUUCUUGAUGGCAGUAGAGAAAUUAUUCAUUCUAUUAUUUAUAUUUUCUAGCAUUUUAUCAUUUGAUGCCAAUUUCUUAGAUAGGUUAUCCAUUAGCUUUCCUUGAUUAGACACUAACUCUCUCAGAGGUGGAAAAUUAUUAUUAUUGUUGUAAGAAUUGUUACCUUGAUAAUUACCUGAGUAGUUAGGCCUCUGUUGAUUCCAACCUUGAUUUUGUUGAGGGCGGUUGUAGUUGUUGUUGUUAUUGUUGAUGUAGUUCACAUCCUCAAGCAUCUCAGGGCAGUGAUUGCAUGAGUGUCCAGUGUCUCCACACUCCUCACAAGUCAUGUGAGAGUCAUAGAUGUGCAUAACUUCUUUCUUAUCUCCAGCUCUAUUGUCGAGCUUCUUCAUGAGCAGGUCUAGCUUUUCAGGCAACCUGUCUACCUCCUUGAGCUGCUGCAUACCUCCACCUCUCUUGCGUGUCUGGGUCCUCUCUUCAUUCCAGCUUUGGUUGGGCGCCAUCUUCUCCACAAGAGCUGUGGCUUGUGAUAUGGUGAGUGAUAGGAAUGCUCCUCGAGCUGCAGCAUCCAUGGUUUCUCGGGCACUAUUGCCGAGCCCAUGAUAAAACGUUUGCAUCAGUUGCCAGCUCUCCAUUCCAUGAUGGGGACAUUCUAGGAUGUAGUCUUGGAAGCGCUCCCAUGCUUCUGGAACGGAUUCAUCAUUUUGUUGCUGAAAACUUGUAAUCUUCCCACGGAGAGCUUUGGUCUUGCCCAUGGGAAAGAACUUAGCUAGGAAGUUUGUUGAGCAGAGUGCCCACGUAGUAUUCUUCUCCUUUGUAGCACAGAACAACUACUUCGCUCUCCCUAACAGUGAGAAUGGGAAGAGGCGAAGUAGUAUAGCAUCUCUGGGGCCUCCUGAUAUGGUAAAUGUGUUGCAAAUCUCCAGAAAGUGUUGGAGAUGAGCACUAGCAUCUUCUUGUGCCUUCCCACAGAACUGGUUGGAUUGCACCAUGUUGAUAAGUCCAGGCUUGAGCUCAAAGUUGUCGUCGAUCUCUGCAGCAGGUCCAGUGCGGAUGUUGUCCGUAGUGGGAGCUGAGAACUCACGGAUUGAUUUGUUCGUCAUGGCUUCGAACUCUGAAGCCAAGUUCCGGUGAUCUUCUUGAUUGGAUGAAGCUUCUUGCUGAAGUGUUGAUGAUCCCUUCUUGAGCUUGGCUCUUGUUUUUCUGAAUAAUGCUUUGGGAUUGUCAACAAAAUUUCCUGGAAGAUGUCUUCUAUUCAUACAUUCCCCUGCAUAAGAUAAAAUAGUUAAAUAUCGGGGUAAAACUGUAUGAGAGAAUAGAUAAGCUCAAUCAUAUUAGUGAUGCGAAUGAUAACUCAAAAUCCUUUAUUCAUUGUUGAUUAGUAAUCAACCUUCCUCGGCAACGGUGCCAAAAAUGCUUGUUGGGUAUUCUUAACAUCAUUACCAAAAGUAGACUUAGUUUUCUAAUUCUGAUAACGGUGCCAAAAAUGCCAAACCUAUCCCUCAUACCACUUCAGCCAAGUUGUCAUCCCCACCAUGAUAUAAGAGACGCGGUAUUGAAAUAUGCAAUUGCUCUUCUAAAUAAAUAAUGAAUGAGAUCUGCAAGCGCAUAGAUUAAUACCAAUGUAGCAUUUUAACCUGGAAGUAUUCUAGGUAUCGUUAUUUAUAUUUUUACCACUAGGAAGGGAUUAACAAUCAUCAAUAUUGAUUACAGAAUAGAAUAUGAGAUUGAGUAUCUAUCAUUGCAUGUAUAAUUGAGAACAUUUAUCUAACUCUUUCAUACAGGGAUAAGUGUCACAUAAAAGAUAUAAAACAAUGAAUAGUGACAAAGAUAAUUGAUUUGAUCAGCAUAACUUAGCCACAUAUAAAUAUGAUAAGCACCUCAAUUAGAUACUCUAGAAAGUCAUUAGCAUGGAAUUAGAAUGAACUACAAGAAUAUUUCCUAAGUUAUUCUCAACUAUAUAGUCUAGCAUUAUCAUAGUUAGUGCAAGCAUACUUAGCAAUCAUUGCGAGACAAGACUACGCCCAUGCAUAGUGAUAUUAGCAAGGUAAAUGAGAAACAUAGCAAUCACUCCCCUGUAAUAAUAUUACUCUGCCAGCCCAAUACACGAGAGGGGGACUAUAUAAGUAUCAAUGAAGCUGUCACUAUCACGAACUACCCCACGAUCUGGCAUAUUGGGUACAAUCGCAGAUAAAUACGGUAUAAGCACCACGCCUACACAAUAUCUAUCAUUUACCCAUGGAUCCGAUGGAUAAACGCUAUACGAUCCUAAGCAUGUAUAUAGAUCCAAUCUAACUAAGCCAAGUAUAUAACUAUGAUAAACUAAGAACAAUAUAAUCUUGAAUAUAAACAAGUAGAGCAAAGUCAUAAGCAAUAUAUUGAAGUAGAACAAAGUCAUAUUCAUAAUAUUGAAGAACAAAGAUGAUUAGAAGAACAAUUAGAAGAACAAUUAGAGAAUUACCAAGAAUCCUCUUGACAGAUCCGGAAACCAAUCGAAGAUUGACGCCUUCUAGUUCUAAUCCUAUGCAGCUAUGCUAAUCUAGAUAUCUAAUUGAUGUGGUGGUUCUAAUCUUGAUCAGAGGCUUCUUCUCCCUUGAGAAUAAUGAAUUAGGGUUGAGAGGCUCUCCUCCUCCAGGGGCCAGGGGGUCUGGUUUUAUAGUCCCUUCAAGUGAAUAUGGGCGUUGGAUCAAACCGACAUUGAUUGAAUGGUUAUCCUUGAUCCUUUAGGUCGGUGGAGAUCUUUCCCGAAAGAGAGUCCUGAUUGGACUCAGAAGGGGGACGGGCACCCAGGUCAACUGGGCGGGCGCCCAGUGCCUGGCCCCGUUCAGCCUCCGCUUCCUUCCCGUGGCUUCUAGAGUCUUCUAGAUGUAAGAUAAUUGUGCGGCACGUUGAUAUCUCUAUGUAAUCCCGACGUGUGGGCCUUUCUUCCGUAUUUCCUGAUAACCCCCUGCAGAAAUAGACAAACACCAAAACUCGUGGAAUUCUGUCAGAUAAAACCCUAUGUCUAGAUGUUGAUUUCAUUUGGAUCCUUAUCUUUGUUUAUUUGAUAAUUAAAUUUGAUACUUAAGGACCGUCAACACCAAGCACCCCGCGACUUGUUGCACUCCCUUGACAUCUCGAAUCAGCCCCAUUCUUGCUAUGGCCGAGACUUUCUCGGGGUUGGCCUCGAUGCCGCGUUGGGAGACUAUGUAACCUAAGAGCAUGCCUCGAGGUACGCCAAAGACGCACUUCUCGGGGUUGAGUUUGAUCUUAUUGGCGCGUAGACAACCGAAAGCGAUUUCGAGGUCCUAAAUCAGGUCGCCUCGUUUCUUCGAUUUGAUGACGAUGUCAUCGACGUAUGCCUCGACCGUUGACCCUAUGUGUUUGCCGAACACGUGGAGCAUGCAUUGCUGGUAUGUCUCCCCAGCGUUUUGAAGCUCGAAGGGCAUGGUUACGUAGCAAUACAUCCCAAAAGGCGUAAUGAAAGAUGUCAUGAGCUGGUCGGACUCUUACAUUUUUGUUUGAUGGUAACCUGAAUAUGCAUCAAGGAAUGAAAGGGUUUCACAUCCCGUGGUAGAAUCAACAAUUUGAUCGAUACGUGGUAAAUGGAAAGGAACUUUUGGACAUGCUUUAUUCAAACUCGUGUAAUCGACACACAUCCUCAUUUUCCCAUUCCUUUUCUUAACUAAUACAGGGUUUGCUAACCAGUCGGGAUGGUGAACCUCCUUGAUGAAUCUGGCCGUCAAAAGCUUGUGGAUCUCCUCGCCAAUGAUCUUGCGUUUCUCCUCGUCGAAGCGACGCAGUCGUUGUUUCACUAGCUUGGAACCGGCUCGAAUUUCCAAGGAGUGCUCAGCGACUUCCCUCGGUAUGCCUGGCAUGUGCCGAGGGACUCCAUGCAAACAUGUCGGCAUUUGCGUGGAGAAAGUCAAUGAGCACGGCUUCCUAUUUGGGGUCGAGGUCGGCGCUGAUCGUCAGCGCCUUGCCGUCGGAGCCAUUGGGGUCGAGCAGGAUCUUCUUCGUGCCUUCCGCUGGUUCGAAGCUGCCCGCGUGACGCUUAGGCUCCGGAUCCUCUGCAGCAAGGGCCUCGAGCCUCGAAGCGAGUUCGACAGAACCUUCGACGGCUUCCCCGUACUCGACGCACUCGACGUCGCACUCGUACGCAUGUUCGUAGGAGCUGACAGUGAUGACCCCCUUGGGCCCAGGCAUCUUUACCUUCAAGUAUGUGUAGUUGGGGAUAGCCAUGAAUUUGGCGUAGCCUGGGUGUCCAAUGAUGGCGUGGUAUGUGCCUCGAAAUCCCACCACCUCAAAGGUGAGAACCUCCUUUCUGAAGUUGGCCACCGUGCCGAAACAGACCGGCAGGUCGAUUCGACCUACCGACAACGCCUUCUUCCCUAGUACGACACCAUGGAAGCCGACCGCGCUUGGUUGGAGCUGUGCUCUUUCGAUGCCGAGGAGGUCGAGGGUCUCGAGGUAGAUGAUGUUCAGGCUGCUGUCGCCAUCCAUCAGCACCUUCGAGCAUUGUUCGCCUAAACGGCCGUUUAGACCGUUUAAACGCCGUGUAAACGCUACACAAUGAUACACCGUUUCCGUUUAAUCAUCUGUUUAGUCCGUUUAAUUGACCGUUUAGCCCGUUUAAUGGACUGUUUAGCCCGAAUAAUGGCUAAACGGCAGGUGACCGACUGUUUACCGUUUAGCGUUUAGGAAAACAUUGCCUUCGAGAGUCUGGUGUUGACGAUGAUGGGGUCGACAACGAGCGGGUAGACGCCAGGGGCGACCACCUUGUCGGGAUGGUCGUCACGAUUGAAGAUGAUGGGGGUGCUCGACCAGUUGAGGUACUGGGGAACCGCCAUCCUUGCUACAAAGACCUCUUGGCGUUCCCUCUUGCGCUGCCUUGUAGUUAGCUGCGUCGAGGGUCCACCAUAAAUCAUGUAGCAGUCAUGGAUGGUUGGGAAACCCUCGUCUUCUUUGUCGUCCCCCUUGUCACCGCUCUUUUCUUUCUUUUGGUCAUCCUUCUUAAGCCCCAGGCCGUCGAAAUAUCUUUUCAGCAUGCGGCAGUCUUCAAGCUUGUUAUUUGCCCCUCCCUUAUGAUUAGGGCAGGGCUCCUUUAGCAUCUUGUCGAAGAUAGCUCCCUCGGGGGGGGGUCCUCGAGGCUUUUUACGCUCCAUGGCGGCGACGAGAUCAUCGUCGAGGGCCUCCCGUUUGAACGGUCGUGCUUUCUUCUUCUUCUUGCUUUUCUUGGGCCCUCGACUGGGGCCCUCAUUGUCGUCGGCUAGCGCCUUGCCUUUCCUUCCUUCGUAGCUGAAGAAAGCACCAACCGCUUCCUCCCCUGCAGCAUAGUUUGCCACCACAUCCAUUAGCUGGUCGACGGUCUAAGGGCGAUUCCGACCCAACUCCCGCACUAGGUCUCUGCAGGUGGUGCCUGAGACAAAGGCCAGGAUGACGUCAUGGUCGGGGAUGUGCGGCAGCUCGGUGCGCUACUUCGAGAAGCGCCGAGCAUAUUCUCGGAGGGUUUCUCCUGAUUUCUGCUUGCACUUGCUGAGGUCCCACGAAUUGCCGGGUCGUAUGUAGGUCCCUUUGAAGUUGCCUUCGAACACCCUGACCAAAUCGGUCCAGUCGUGGAUCUAGUUGGUAGGGAGUUCCCCAAGCCACCUGCGGGCGGUGUCGGAGAGAAAGAGCGGCAACUAACGGAUGAUGGCUCGAUCAUCUCCUCGAGCGCCUCCCAACUGACAUGCUAGUCGGAAGUCUGCCAGCCACAGUUCCGGCUUGGUUUCGCCGUUGUAUUUGGCAAUGCUGGUUUGGGCUCAAAACGGGUUGGGCAACGGCGUGCUGCGGAUCGCUCUGCUGAACACACGAGGGCCCGGUGGUUCUGAGGCCAUCCGGUCCUUGUUGCAGUCGUAUCGUCCGCCACGGUGGUCGCUGUAGCCGCGUUCCUCUACAUCCCCAUGUCGACGGCGACGAUACUCGUUGAUGUCGUGUCGUCCGUCGUGUCACUAUUGAUUGUCGACAGGGUGGUCUUGGACAGGCGCUGUUUUCUUUCCUCGAGGGGGUGGUUGCUGAUGGACAGACACCUCCCUUUCAUUUCGGACCGGCUCGUCGCGCUUCUCCGAGACCGCCCCUCGACGUCGAGAGGCCGAGCUCUCGGCUUGCUGAGCUGCCGCCACCUGAAGUAGAGUUUGCACCUUGUCUCGAAUGCGCCGUGCUUGGGAGCUCGAGGGUUCAGGCAUGUUACGUAGUAGCAUGGUCUACGCCACGACAUUCUGGCCUGCUCGAGGGAAACGGCUGAUAGGCUGUUCUGGUUCCCCGUCUCCGACGAUCUGCCAGUGCACUUCUCGAGCUCGCCUGUGUGCACCUCCGCCAUGCGGGUAUGGUUGUUCCUGCUCAAGGGCCCGCUCGAGCUGGGUGAGGCGCUCGCGAUCUUCAUCAAGCUUUGCUUUGAGCUCUGAUAACUGCGCAAGUUGCACGGCUUUGUCUUCCUGAGGCGGAGGGUCGACCUGACCGUUGUUCCCAGGAGUCCUGGGGUCCUCCGUUGCUACAGGGGCUCGACCGCAGGUGACGGCGUCUUGUGUUUCGUCUGUGGUCUCCACCUCCCCAUUGAUGAUGAAGCAUUCCCUAGUAGGGUCGUAGCUGUCAGAUUCAGAGUCGGGAUCUGGCUCGGCGGCAUAGAAACAUCCGCGUCCUUCCUCCACCAGCCGCUGCCUGAGCGAGGUGAUUGUGUAUCGCCCGGGUCCUAGGCAUCGGAGGCCUUGUACCUGGGAGAAAUCUGGCAGCUCAGCCGCUUGCUGUUGUGACCCAGCGUCUCACGGGAGGACCAUUGGUCGCUCCACGUACGUUUGGGCGUUUGGGCAUAUUGUCCUGGCGAGUGAUGCAGCGGCGUUGUCCAGACCGAACAGGUACGUUCUUCUAGAGGCGAACAACCCGUGCGGUAGCAGUGUCGUCGAGGGCGAGAGCACACAAGGCGCGUCGUCGCCCAAGGUCGUCACGCGGCCCUCGUGACGUCGGGCCGCCGUAUCCGCGGCUUCGACGCGUGGGGCUAUCGAUUCCUACACCACCGCUCGCCUAGCACGAGCUGAUGACCGUGCAGCGGCAGAGGGGCGGUGGCGGUGCUGUCCACGCCUCUUCUUAGGUGGGGAGGCGUGGUGGCGAGGCCGUCUUGGGGCCUUCAGUCUUGCGAAUGCAAUGCGGGCUCCUCCGAGUCCCUUGACCGAGAGCAGGAUCAUGUCGUAGCCGAAACUGGUGGACAUAAACUCGAGGCUCCCGAACCAAAUCACCAUGGAGCGCGGGAUCGGUGAAACGAGAGUGGCCAUCUAGAGAGAGAUGGGAAGUCAGUGAAAAAACACGUAGGACCCCUACCUGGCGCGCCAACUGUCGGUGUUUUACCCCUGGGGGUCACACCAACGAGUGAAACUUGUGUGCGUGUUCCCUUUCCCAGAUGGUGAUGUAAGAAAGACACAAAGAUUUAUCCUGGUUCGGGCAAGAGAAGGCCCUACGUCUAGCGGGGGGGAUGUUUCUAUUAUCUUGCACCUAAGUGCUUGUACAGGGGCGAAUACAAGUCGGUGUUGUGAUGGAUUCUAAGUUCUAGACGGAGGUGGUGUAUCGUUGUUCUCUACAUAUCUCUUCCUAUGCCUCCCCUUUUAUAGUCAAAGGAGAGACCUAGGUUACAUGGCGUAGGUGAUAGAGUAGGGGUCGAUAGGGGCGUGGAGCGCUGACCUACACGAGGCUUCCGUACCAGCGUGGCCUUGAGCCGUCUUGUUCCACAGUACUUGGGUGAUGAUUACGCGUGCCCCUGAAUUCAGCUCCUUCGCGCUGUCCUGGACCGGCUUAACCGUGGGCAUGCCUGUACGUCGUGGUUGCAGUCGUGUCAGAGUGGUUGAGGUGCCGUCUUUUAUUGCCCGACUCUUCUCUUGGAUGGUACGUGCCCGCUCGAGAGUGAGAUGUCGCGCAAAGCCCUGCUGAAUGGAGCGCUGACUUUGGACAUCUCGAGGGGGGCCGUGACAUGACAUUCCUUCUGUCUCACCGCACUCAGCCUUACUCUCACUCUUCUGAAAGGAUAAAUCUCCAAAAAGGGGUGAUUGGAUGGGUGCUCGCUCCCUAUCACGCUUCCCGUGACUGUCGGGUUAGGUGAGAACACGGCAGGCGCAUUAAAUGACCUGGUUCCCGUACUCGCGGCAGGCGGCGGACGGCGUCCUUGCGCUCGAGGCCUGUCGUUUCGUACGAGCCAAUUCCGUAUUCGAUGGUCGCCGUUCUGUCGAGCCUUGGUUGAUUCGUACGACCCUUUCUCCGUGUUUGAGGCUAUGGUCGUCAUCGCAUUUUGGUGAUCGCGCGUGCGAACGGGGGGCGUCGAGUCAGGAGCCUCGACUCACGUACGGGUCCUUUCAUUAUAUGCAUCGGUUAGGGUACCCCUUACUGAUACGCUCGACAAUCAUGGAGGUUUUCAUGGAUGAUUUUACCGUCUAUGGCAAAACCUUCGAUCAUUGUUUGGAGAAUUUAGAUAGAGUCUUGCAGCGAUGUGAAGAAAAGCACUUAAUCCUGAACUCGGAGAAAUGCCAUUUUAUGGUUCAGGAAGGAAUAGUGCUAGGACAUAAAGUGUCCGAAUGUGGUAUAGAGGUGGACAAAGCAAAGAUUGAAGUUAUUGAAAAACUUCCACCUCCCACGAAUGUGAAAGGAAUCCAUAGCUUUUUUGGACAUGCAGGGUUUUAUAGACGCUUUAUCAAGAACUUCUCUCAAAUUGCUAGACCCCUAACUAGUCUCCUAGCUAAGGAUGCACCUUUCAUCUUUAGUGAUGUGUGUCAUGACUCUUUUCAAACUCUCAAGAAAGCACUCAUCUCAGCCCCGAUUAUCCAACCACCUGAUUGGAAUCUUCCUUUUGAGAUCAUGUGUGAUGCUAGCGAUUUUGUGGUUGGUGCCGUUUUAGGACAAACCAAGGUAAAAAGCAUUAUGCCAUAUCCUACGCUAGCAAAACUUUGUCUGGACCAUGUUGACGGUCCUUAAUGCUCACAUCUAACUAUCAACUAAUCAUAAAAAAGGAUCCAAAUGCAACCAACACCUAGACUUAGGGUUUUAUCUGAUAGAAUUCCACGAGUUUUGGUGUUUGUCUAUUUCUGCAGGGGGUUAUCAGGAAAUAUGGAGGAAAGGCCCACAUGUCGGGUUUACAUAGAGAUUAACGUGCCGUGCAAUUUUCUAUCAUCUAGAAGACUACAGAAGCCACGGGAACGAACGGGAGGCCGAACGGGCCCGGGGGCAGGGCGCCCGCCCUCCCCCCUUGGGCGCCCGCCCUGCUAUAGUGCCCAAUUAGAGUCCUUUUCGCGAAUCGUGCUCCACCAACCUAAGGUGUAACACCCCAGUGUUAUGGUUGCAUCAAGCAUGUGCAUAGCAUGAGCAUCAUCAUUUACUCAAAGCAUAUCAUGAUCAUCAUCUAUCUUGAGCCAUGUCAUUCUAUGCAAAAAUGUGUUUUAAAUUGCUUAAAUUGGCUUCCUAUGCUUAUGUUUGAGUGAACAAUGCUUGUGUUUGUGCUUAAUGCCUUGGUAAUUAGUUUAUCUAUGCUUAACUUAAUCUUGGGAACAAUGUUCAUGUUGAUCACUUUUCCAAAAUAUGCUUUUAAGUCAUACUUAUGAAAAUAGACCCUAGAAACCUCUUUUUCUUAGGAUUUUAAAAAGUGUUUCAUAAAAUGUUUGCAUGUCAAAACUUUCUACAGCAACGUUGUAGUAAAUUUUAUAAGGAACAAAAGUUGUUUUAUGGCCAUCUCAUGAAAAUGAUCACAAAUAGCUAAAAAGUGACCUACAAGGCAGAUUUGGGGCUGUUUUCAACACUUAGAAAAUUUUCUAAGUCUUGGAACGAAAACAGUUUGCUCGAUUGAUUUUGAAAACUUCAUAACUCUCAAUCCAAGCCGAUCUAGCUCUUGCUCCAGUUGACAAAGUUUUAGAUCUCGCUUAGUUCUCCAAGUUUGUCAACUACGCCAUCUUCUAAUUCGCUCUGGUUUGGGAGAUAAUCGCCGGUGAAGUGGCUCUGUCAGACCAGCACCCUUUCUUCUGAAUCGAGCCUGAGCUCGUCGACGUGGCCGACCGCCGGCAGAGCUCCGUCGCCAUUUGUCGACCACACGCUGCUCCUGGCCUCGCUUGUCAGCCAUCGUCGCGUGCAUGACCUCCACGGCGACGUCCCGAGCGAAGUGGACGCGUCCACUCGCUCUGCCUCGCCCUCCUUCGCCUGAAACUCGCCCGCAGCGAGCUCUCCGCCGCGAGCUCACUCCGGCGAGCUCGUGUGCGCUCCUCACUGCGCCUCCGUCCACCAAACUCCACCCAAAGCUCCGCCGUGAGCCGCUCUCUAAGCUCCACCCUCUAACUCGCCGAGAAACCCACCGGUGAGCCGACAUUCCCUUCUUCCCCCAAAUCGGUUCGCCGUGACCUUCUUCUCCGGCGAACUCAAUGCCGAGCGCUGUGAGGCUUCUCAUCGUCUUUGGUUAGGUCCUAGAGGUAGCUUAGGUCCUUAGCGAGCUUUUGCGCCACCUGGUGGAUGCUCUACCGGGUUCUCCGUCGCCGGACACGGUGCGCAGCGCCGCCGUGCUUCCGCCGGAGUUGGGUGCUCUCGUGGCCAGCGCGUUCCACGGGGAUCCAGGCCAAGCCGCGCACCUAGGAAGCUUCGCCGUACUCCGCUGGUGCUGUAGAAGGCCUUAGGUCGCGCUCUACCGGCCUGAGGGCUCCGGCGUAACGCCGAGCACCUCCGCCGAGCCGCCAUUGUCGACGGCGAGCCUCUUCCGGUGGCUCCGCCGUGGGAAAAGUGGGGUCAAUCGAGUCGUUAGGGUUUGGGGAUCACGCUGAUGCCCUUGGCUUGGCCGGAGACCUCGCCGUCGCGGAGAAAUCGCCGGCGAAAGUCGCCUCGGCCGCGAGGAAGAAGAGCCUGACAGAUGGGACCCACUGUCAGCGACUCUCUCUUUCCCUCCUUUUCUUUUAUUCAAAAUCCUGAUUUUUGGCUUUCUUGCAAAAAUCAUAUCUCCAGUUUCUGAGAUCCAAAAAUUGUGAAACAAAUUUUUGUGGAGUUUCUUGAGAUGGCUAGUAUUUAAUAAAAAUAUAAAAUGAAUCAUGUUUUCUGAGAAAUCAUUUAUUAAGGAUUUAAUCUUGUUAUUUAUGGAAAAAUGCAUAUCUCUUGUUAUACUGCUUAGUUUGCUUUGAAAAUUUUAUGGUAGCCUUUGCAUGGCAUUAGAGUGCUCGGAUAAUUAUUUCAUGAUUUUUAGAGCACUGCAGUUGGGAUACGUAAUUUGUGUUUGAGAUAUGGCUUGUUUCUUUAAAUAAAUCAUAUAAAAUAAUUGGUGCUUAUGCUGAUGUUCUACUUUGGUGGUAAGUUUGUUUAUGGUACUCCUAAGAUGUAAAUAAUCUGAAAUCUGUUGUUUAACACCAUAUAAGUAUUGUUUCUAAAUUUAUGAAAUAAAUGCCUUGAUACGUGUUAAAUACAUAUCUUUAUUUUGGUAUGUGCAUUGCUGUGAAAUUUUUAUGGUGAUACUUUGAUGGUGUCCUUGUGCUUCUGUAAUUGUUGUAGAUUUUUCUGAGCAUUUGAACUAGUAUCUUGUAAUUAUGCUCUUAUUUAGAGUUAAUUAAUAAAUGCCUUGUUAAAUAAAUGUUUUGGGGUUUCCAUCUGAUGAUCUGGUAACCUUGUAAUAUGUUUGUGCUCAUAGGCCAUGUGGUUGGCAUGGUUUGUGUCUUGAUCAUGUCAUUAAAUAAUUAACUAUUGGGUUUAAUGCUGUUCUGGACAGCAAGGUAGCAAUUUGGUUAUUACUUAAUGAUAACUUGACUUUCUGUGGAACUUGUCUAAAGCAAAGAUGUUCCAAACUUGUUGAACUAACUAUGGUUUAAAUUUGAGGUCGUUUGGCCAAGUAGUUUAAAAGUUAUAGCUGUUUCAAGUUGGGUUCUAGGAAUAGGUGUUCUCUGUUUUUCUGGGACAGAACCUGGAACUUUGUUUAAAUGACCAGUCUCAUGUAUGAAUCUUGCUGUCAUGUUUAAAGAUUAAUUGUAGACAAUUUCAUAAGCUUUCCAGAAUGUCCUUACUCAUGUUUGUUGGACCUGCCUAUAUUUAGUUAUGAUUUAUUUACUGAGCCUCUCUGUUUGUGUGUUUGCUGCCUUAGUGUCUUGAAAGGUUUUGGGUUAUGUUAACUUGUUCAAUUAUGCGAGUUAGUAUAACUUUUGUCCGUAAAUGAGUGUCCAGUGAGUUGCUUGUGUCAUUAAGCAUUCAUCGUUAGCAUGUGCAUUAUCUUAUCGUUCGAGCAUGCAAUAGGUGCACCGGACGUGGCCGUUUCCUUCGAGCUCCAAGCGAAUCCCGAAGGUCAGGAGGGCAGCCAGGAGGUGGAGGUCCAGCAAGCCAGACUCGAGGAGCCCGAAGAAGAAGUUGAGUGCCCGAAUCACGAGCCGGCAUCAUUCGUGAAAGGCAAGCCCCGGAGCAUUCUAAGUCUCCUUCUAUUUUCGAAAGUUUACUUAAUAUGUUAUACCUAUUGAUGCAUUAAGUCUAGGAGUUGUGAUGAAACUGUUGCUGCAUUCUACUCUAUCCUUGUCCAGAUAACUCACCCUCCCUGGUUGUAGAGUUAGGAUCGAGUAGCAGCUUAGAUAUGCUUUAAUCGGUAGAAGUCGGGUGAUAUCCUGUCAUCCGCGCGAUAUAGGGUUAUGUCGGAUCACGAUGGUCUAUAUGUGCUAUCGUGGAUGGAACCUGAUUAAAGUGAGUUAAGCCGGGCGGAGUUUUGCAAGUUUGUAGUAACUCCGUCUGUGGCAGCUAAGGACUGAUCGUUGUACGUCCUCUUGUCAUGUUGAACGCAUGCCUAACACUUAGUUGGCCGGAUAACUCGUUCCGACCGCGAAGCCGAGUAGUAUGACUCAGGCCGGAAGACCGGCAAGUAUAAAGUGCGCACUACCGGAGGAAGUGCGGUGUGCGGGGGACCAUUGGCGUAAGUCCAAAGGCAGGUGAGUUAAAAUUCCUGACCUCCCUGGCAGAGUGGUAGCCCUUGGAGUGCGGCGCUGAUCGGAACCGCGAUUUCUGAGUUGUACCAAAAGUGACCCGUGGGCUCUCCGGCAGGGGAUGCCUGGGUGAGUGCUAGGAAUAAUCCUCCAGCUGGAUAGGAAUUCGAUUCGAAUCGCCGUCUCUCCCGGUUAGUGAUAACUUGACAGAGCAGCGGCAAACGUAGCAUUCACUAAUGAAUUUGGUUCAUGAUGAUGAUGAUAGCAAGAAGAACAUAUGAUGAAUUUGAUAUGGUUAUUAUUGUUUGUAAUAAUCAAGUGAUGUGUUGUAGUACAGGUGCUAAUCUAGUGGUAGGCUGAUGAUAAAUAAAUAUGAUGCUCUUAAAAUAACUUAGUUGUAAGUUAAGCUUUUGGCAAAAGGUGAGUCAACCAACUCCACCUAAGAUUUAGCCUUGCAUGAUCCUUGGUGUCUUUUGUGUUUUACUAGACGGGUAAGUCUAGCUGAGUACAUCCUCGUACUCAGGGUUUAUUCCCACCUGUUGCAGAUGAUAUCUUCUAUGACGGUUUCUGCAAGACCUGUCUCCAUCCCGCUGGGGAUGAGGACUAACCGUUGGGCACGGUUCUCUACUCUUCUCGUCUAUGAGGCUUUUUGAAGGAUGGCAUAGACUCUGGCAGUAACAAAACUUGUGAACUGAACUUUGAACAAGUGUGUGUAACUAUUUUGCUUCCGCUACUUCAAACUUGGGUUGUAAUAACUUAAUGACUCCGAUGUGGUGCCGCUUCAUCGGCAAUGACUGACUAUGUAACAUUCGUUGUGUUUAUGUUGAACUAUUACGAUCUUGGUUUGUUGCGAGUUGGUUUGAAGUCCUUCGUGAUUUCGAUUGACUACCGGGAUUAUAUGGGCUCAAGUUUAGAAACUUGAUUGUUUGACGAUCGUUUCUGCACUUGAACUCUUAUAAUUUGGUCGGUUCUGUGACAGCUGGCAUCGGAGCAAGUUCAGCAUUAUAAAUGCAGCGUUUGUGUAUUUAAAACAAAAGAGUUUUAAAUAAAAUACUGUAAAACAAAUAAUUAAGUUAUGCCUGUGGUCGAAUCCUCCUUGCCCACAUAAGGACUAUAGGUGGCUAUUUAAGUACUGACUUGGGGGGGGGGUUUAUUUAUGCAUCUCCGGCAGUACUCAGGUAUGGAUGUGUGAUGACCGCACUAUGCUACCCUGUGGUCUAAUGGUGGAGGUAGCCUUCAUAUGUGAAUUAGCCACAUAUGUCGCUAGAUUUAAAUUAUGUAACGUCGCACCUACGCUCGGGUAAGUGUGAGCUGUGAGAGCAUGAUCGUCCAAACGGCGGUCUAGGGGAGUGUUCGCGGUGGUUUUCUGGAGUGGUUACAUGUCGAAACCAUGAAACCACGAAAGAAACUUAAUUGGGGAGCAUUUAAUUUCUCGGGUAGUUGUGGUGUCAUUGUUUGGGGCAUGUUGGGCAUGUCCGAGCAAUGUGCACUUAGUUUACUGCUUUCUUGAGUGAUAUAUAUUGGGAACUGUUGGGCUGAAAUGAAGUUUUCUGCAGGUACUCUAACAGCGCACGUGUAAACCGAUAGUUACCGUAUCGAGAGACGAAUGUAUGCCACCGUAUAUCCAUUAGAAUAUUAAUUUUCUAAGUUUGUGAGGACGUACGGUUCGUGCAUGCAUCAUGUCGCAUUCAUACAUACAUUCUGUCUACUCCUUCCCUUACAAUUUUGUCCCUUUUCAAUAAAUGAAUGAUUGCUUAACUAAUCCUCUGUUACCCAAGGUGUUCCUAUUCCCUUCCACAGAUGGAUGCACCCGCUUCACCUCUUCCCAGUGACACUUUCUUGCACGAGUUUGGCACUCCUACCCUGCUCUGGAGAGUGUUACGGACUGUUGGGUAUACUGAGCCAUCUCAGUAUUCUUGGUGGGAGAUGGAGAGCACAGGAGGGAUCCAGUGGUUUGCUGUGCAGGGAGUUGUCCCUCCACAUGGGGACAAGCCUGCAUGGACAGGCUGGACUUGCAGCUCUGAUGGGCAGACUCCUUGGGAGGCAGCUCAGGUUGCAGCCCAGACUAUCCUGCUCGAUAUCUGUCAGAGGUGUGGUGACGAGCUGACGGGAGGACCAGCGGCCUCCAUUCCUAGUGCUGACCCAGCAGCCGCGGAAUGGAAACAGGCUGAUGGUUGUGCUUUGGUUCGAGGCAGGGCAGAGAGAGCUGAGAGUUCUAGUCCUGCGAUGAGUGCUAUGAUGGCGGUGCUCAAGCUGAUUAGUCAGCGAGAGGGCACCUAUGCACAGGUGAUGAUGGCUAUUCGCAGGGCCCAGGAGAUGCAGCGAAAGGCUGAAAGGCGUGCUCGCAAGUUUCACAAGCAAGCUAGACUCCUGGAGCAAGCUCAGAAGGACCGCAAUGACUGGGAAGACAUUGCGGAGUAUCGUAGGCAACAGUGGGUGAAGGCCAUCAGAGAGAGAGAUCAUAAGCAGGAUCAGAUGAGCCAGUUAGCUAGAGAGAAGGAGACCUUGCAGGAGCGCUUGGUGCAGCUCACCCUUGAGAGGGAUACUGCACUCCGUGUGUCGGAGAACAGGCGCCAAGCAUGGGAGAUGCACCGAGUUCAGUCGCUUGAGCGGGAGAACUAUCUGCAGUAUCAGAUUGAGGCUGGUCUUGUGGAGAUUCACCGUCUCAACAACUUGCUACACCCUGUUCCUCGCCCUAUACCCGUGUAUCCCGAGGUAGGACCUCAGGUGAUUGUGGCCGAUGAUGAUGGUAUGGAGGUCGAUGGACCAGCAGCGGCUGCACCACCUUUACACGAGGACGUGGAGGACGAGGAGCUUGAGCCGGUUAGCGACGAGGAUGGAGAGGCGAUCUUCGACGCUGACUCGGACGACGAGCCUGGAGUGUAGGGAGUAGUGGGUAGUGUGACCCAAGGAUCUUUUGUAGUAUGCCAGUCGGCUGUGGUGCUUUUGUAACCAUGUUGUAAUCCGAAACUUUGACCUUGACUCAUGGCAUGUACUGUGUUGGUGUAAUAACUUUAUGGACCCUAUGUGCAGUCUUUAUGAUCGUUAUGUUAUGCCGAUGUUUUCCGUUGUGGUGCGUAUUGCGGAUGUCUAUGUCAUGUGUUGGAUUGGUGAUGUUGUUUUGUGGAAUGGAAUUGUUGUGCCUUUCUGUAAAGCUAUUCUCUCGAAUACUUUCAGGCAUGAAUAUAAGUUCUUCUACGGCAAAUCUUGUCAUCAUCAAUACUCACUGACUGUGUCUUUACAGAUGUCUCGUGGCACCCGGGGUGCGGAACAGCGUGCAAACAUGAAUCCACCACCUCCUCCUCCACCACCAAAUCCAGCUGAGCUGAUGCAAAUGAUGGUGGAAAAUCAGAGGAUGCUCACUGAGACCAUCAAUCGUAUGGCAAAUCAGGGUGGCCGUAAUGCACAGGAAGGGCCAGCUCCUAACCAGUACAGUAGCUUCAAGGACUUCAUGGAUACGAAGCCCCCACCUUUCAGAGAAGCUGAAGAACCCGUUCAAGCUGAAGAGUGGCUGAAUACGGUGGAACAAAAGUUUCGCCUACUUCGGUUGACUGAAGGUUUGAAGUCGGAGUAUGUAGCUCACCAACUGCAACGACCGGCAGGCAUCUGGUGGAAUCAGUACCGAGAAGCUCUACCGGCUGACACGGUGAUUGAUUGGAAUCUUUUCCGUGAGGCUUUCAAAGGGCAUUUCAUUCCUCCGGGUGUUAUGGAGAUGAAGCACACCGAGUUCAUGCAGUUGACUCAGGGCAACAAGACUCUGAAGGUGUAUUUGCAUGCUUUCAAUCACUUGUCUAGAUAUGCUCCUGAGUUUGUGAACACGGAGGCGAAAAAGAUCGCUAGUUUCAAGCGGGGUUUGGGUCCCAAAUUGCUGAAGACUAUGGGCCGCUCUAAGUGUGCAACUUUCAAUGAGUUUGUCAGUGAUGCUCUCACCCAAGAGAACUAUAACACUGUGUACACUGCGACCAAGACUCACAAGAGGGCUUUUGAGGCCAGUGCUGGGUCAUCUCAGUCCAAGGCUCCCGUGGCAGCUAAGCCACCAUUCCGUGCUCCAACCCCCAACCAGCGAUACCGCCCUCCGGUGAAGAAGAAUCAGGCAAAGACGGGUUUUCGCAAGGGGUACUCUAUUGCUCUUCCUAGGGGCAACACGGGUCCCAACUAUGCCAAGACUCCACCUGCCAACCGUCCGUGCUGGAACUGCAAUCAGACCGGGCAUUGGCAGAGCAACUGUCCUUACCCGCCAAAGAAGGGCAACCAGGGGAACGUCCGUCAGGGGCGUGUUCAUUACACAACUGUGGAGGCAAUCCCUGCUGGUGAGGUAGUCACGGCUGGUAAGUUUCUGGUCAAUCAACAUGAUGCACUUGUGCUUUUUGAUUCUGGAGCAUCGCAUUCGUUUGUGAGUUCUGAAUUUGUAUCUAAACAUAACAUCAAGACCAUCACACUUGAUAACGGCAGUUAUUGUAUUAGUGUGGCGGGAAAUGAUAUUUCCCCCAAUCAAGUGGUUUUGGGGGCACUCUGGAAUAGGAAGCCGCAGUUCUUGCUGAACGGUUUGUUCUACCCGGUGUGGGCAUAGAUGUAAUUCUGGGGAUGAAGUGGAUGAGUGGUAAUGGAGUUCUUAUAGACACCACCACUCGUGUAGUGAUGUUGAAAGACCCAAAUACCAAGGAGGCAUUUCUAGUGCAACUCCCUCGUGAUAUUCAAAUCCGUAGCACUGUGAAUGCAGUUACAUCUAAGGCUAUUCAGGAUAUUCCGGUGGUGUGUGAGUUUCCGGAUGUUUUUCCUGAUGAUCUACCCGGGCUUCCUCCGGAUCGGGAUGUGGAGUUCAAAAUUGAAUUGAUUCCAGGCACCGCUCCUAUCUCUAGAAGACCUUAUAGGAUGCCGCCCAAUGAAUUAGCUGAGCUUAAGACCCAACUAAAUGAGUUGUUGCAGAAGGGUCUUAUUCGUCCUAGUUCAUCUCCUUGGGGUUGUCCGGCUAUCUUUGUGAAGAAGAAGGAUCAAUCUUUGCGCAUGUGUGUGGACUAUCGUCCCCUAAAUGCGGUGACUAUCAAGAACAAAUACCCUCUUCCUCGCAUUGAUAUCUUGUUUGACCAGUUGUCCAAAGCUAAGGUAUUCUCCAAGAUUGAUUUGCGAUCUGGGUACCAUCAGAUCAAGAUCCGUCCCGAAGAUAUACCUAAGACGGCUUUCUCGACGAGGUAUGGGUUGUAUGAGUACCUUGUCAUAUCCUUCGGCCUUACAAAUGCACCUGCUCAUUUCAUGUAUCUUAUGAAUUCGGUGUUCAUGCCCGAAUUGGACAAGUUUGUGGUGGUCUUCAUUGAUGAUAUCUUGGUAUAUUCUUGCAAUGAAGAGGAGCAUGCAGAGCAUCUGCGUGUAGUGUUGUCGCGUUUGCGUGAACAUCAGCUUUAUGCAAAGUUUAGCAAAUGCGAGUUUUGGCUAAAGAAAGUACCUUUCUUGGGCCAUGUCUUAUCUGAAGAAGGCAUAUCGGUGGAUCCGGCUAAGGUGCAAGAAGUGCUGGAUUGGAAAGUUCCAACUUCGGUACACGAGGUUCGGAGUUUUCUCGGUCUGGCUGGGUAUUACCGUCGAUUUAUUCCGGAGUUCUCCAAAAUAUCCAAGCCUAUGACUCGUCUACUUCAGAAAGAUGAAAAGUUUGUGUGGACACCUGAGUGUGAAGAGGCAUUCCACAAGUUGAGGACACUCUUGACAUCAGCUCCUGUCCUAGCUCAACCUGAUAUCGAGAAGCCUUUCGAUGUCUUUUGUGACGCAUCAGGCAUUGGUUUAGGCUGUGUGUUGAUGCAGGAAGGUCGCGUUAUCGCGUAUGCCUCGCGCCAACUUCGAAAGCAUGAGGUCAAUUACCCCACUCAUGACUUAGAAUUGGCAGCAGUUGUUCAUGCUUUGAAAAUCUGGAGGCAUUAUCUGCUGGGUAAUCUGUGUAAUAUUUACACCGAUCAUAAGAGCCUCAAGUAUAUCUUCACUCAACCUGAACUGAACAUGCAGCAGCGAAGGUGGCUUGAGUUGAUUAAAGAUUAUAAUCUGCAAGUGCACUAUCAUCUGGGCAAGGCAAACGUAGUGGCGGAUGCCUUGAGUCGGAAAGCGCACUGUCACUCAAUUCAAGUGGAAGAUCCGUUGUUGUCACAUGUGAUGCAUCCGCUUGUACUCCACCAAAUUUCUCUGGAGAGUACCAUUUGCAAUCGAGUUAUCGAAUUGUAGCAGACAGAUGUAGGCAUCCACCAUAUAAAGAGGAAAAUGAAGGAAGAAGAAACCAAGCAUUUCCGGGUUGAUGAGAACGGAAUCCUUUGGUUCAAGGAUCGACUUGUGGUCCCAAAAGACCGCAAGCUGCGAAAUCAGAUCCUAUCUGAAGCUCAUUCAUCCAAAAUGUCUAUCCAUCCUGGUAGUAGCAAGAUGUAUCAGGAUCUGAAACCUUUGUUUUGGUGGAAAAAGAUGAAAAAGGAGAUAGCUGCUUUUGUCGCUCGUUGUGACAAUUGUUGUCGGGUGAAGGCUGUUCACAUGAAAGCUGGUUUGCUUCAACCCUUGUCAAUUCCUGGUUGGAAAUGGGAAGAAGUCAGCAUGGAUUUCAUCUGUGGACUCCCAAUUUCUGUUAAGGGUUACGACUCCAUCUGGGUGGUUGUAGAUUGUUUGACCAAGGUUGCUUGAUUUAUUCCAGUCCGAACUGACUAUCGUCCCCAUCAGUAUGCGGAGUUGUAUUUCGAGCACAUUGUUCGACAGUAUGGUGUGCCUCGAACAAUCAUAUUUGAUCGUGGACCGCAGUUCACUGCUCGUUUUUGGGAAUGUCUUCAUGAGCAGAUUGGUACUCAUUUGGUCCGCAGCUCUGCUUAUCAUCCCCAAACAGCAGGUCAAACUGAACGAGUUAACCAGAUCCUUGAAGAUAUGUUGAGGGCAUGUGCUCUCUCAUCAAAAGGUUCUUGGGUUAAGUGGUUGCCAUUAGCUGAGUUCUCCUACAACAAUAGUUACCAGGAGAGUAUCAAGAUGGCUCCAUUUGAAGCCUUGUACGGUCGAAAGUGUCGAACCCCGCUGAAUUGGGUAGAAGCUGGAGAGCGAAGAUACUAUGGCAUCGAUUUCGUGAACGAAGCAGAGCAGAAAGUCCGUACUAUCCAGCAACAUCUGGAAGCUGCUCAAGCUCGUCAGAAAAGUUAUGCCGACAAGAGAAGGAAGCCGAUUGAGUUUUCAGUUGGUGACCAUGUGUACAUCAAGGUGUCUCCGAUGAAGGGUGUACAAAGGUUCGGAGUCAAGCGAAAUCUUGCACCUCGCUAUGUGGGACCUUAUCGGAUUCUCGGAAAGAAAGGGAAUGUGGCAUACAAAGUUCAACUCCCAGUUGCGCUUCGAGCCAUUUUUCCUGUCUUCCACGUAUCACAAUUGAAGAAGUGCCUUCGUGUACCGGAGGAACAAGUGGAAAUUCGAGAUAUCAAGUUGAAGUCAGACUUGGUAGAGGGGAGGGCUGUAACACCCCAGUGUUAUGGUUGCAUCAAGCAUGUGCAUAGCAUGAGCAUCAUCAUUUACUCAAAGCAUAUCAUGAUCAUCAUCUAUCUUGAGCCAUGUCAUUCUAUGCAAAAAUGUGUUUUAAAUUGCUUAAAUAGGCUUCCUAUGCUUAUGUUUGAGUGAACAAUGCUUGUGUUUGUGCUUAAUGCCUUGGUAAUUAGUUUAUCUAUGCUUAGCUUAAUCUUGGGAACAAUGUUCAUGUUGAUCACUUUUCCAAAAUAUGCUUUUAAGUCAUACUUAUGAAAAUAGACCCUAGAAACCUCUUUUGCUUAGGCUUUUAAAAAGUGUUCAUAAAAUAUUUGCAUGUCAAAACUUUCUACAGCAAAGUUGUAGCAAAUUUUAUAAGGAACAAAAGUUGUUUUAUGGCCAUCUCAUGAAAAUGAUCACAAAUAGCUCAAAAGUGACCUACAAGGCAGAUUUGGGGCUGUUUUCAACAGUUAGAAAAUUUUCUAAGUCUUGGAACGAAACCAGUUUGCUCGAUUGAUUUUGAAAACUUCAUAACUCUCAAUCCAAGCCGAUCUAGCUCUUGCUCCAGUUGACAAAGUUGUAGAUCUCGCUUAGUUCUCCAAGUUUGUCAACUACGCCAUCUUCUAAUUCGCUCUGGGUUGGGAGAUAAUCUCCGGUGAAGUGGCUCUGUCAGACCAGCACCCUUUCUUCUGAAUCGAGCCUGAGCUCGUCGACGUGGCCGACCGCCGGCAGAGCUCCAUCACCAUUUGUCGACCGCACGCCGCUCCUGGCCCCGCUUGUCAGCCCUCGUCGCGUGCAUGACCUCCACGGCGACGUCCCGAGCGAAGUGGACGCGUCCACUCGCUCUGCCUCGCCCUCCUUCGCCUGAAACUCGCCCGCAGCGAGCUCUCCGCCGCGAGCUCACUCCGGCGAGCUCGUGUGCGCUCCUCACUGCGCCUCCGUCCACCAAAUUCCACCCAAAGCUCCGCCGUGAGCCGCUCUCCAAGCUCCACCCUCUAACUCGCCGAGAAACCCACCGGUGAGCCGACAUUCCCUUCUUCCCCCAAAUCGGUUCGCCGUGACCUUCUUCUCCGGCGAACUCAAUGUCGAGCGCUGUGAGGCUUCUCAUCGUCUUUGGUUAGGUCCUAGAGGUAGCUUAGGUCCUUAGCGAGCUUUUGCGCCACCUGGUGGAUGCUCUACCGGGUUCUCCGUCGCCGGACACGGUGCGCAGCGCCGCCGUGCUUCCGCCGGAGUUGGGUGCUCUCGUGGCCAGCGCGUUCCACGGGGAUCCAGGCCAAGCCGCGCACCUAGGAAGCUUCGCCGUAGUCCGCUGGUGCUGUAGAAGGCCUUAGGUCGCGCUCUACCGGCCUGAGGGCUCCGGCGUAACGCCGAGCACCUCCGCCGAGCCGCCAUUGUCGACGGCGAGCCUCUUCCGGUGGCUCCGCCGUGGGAAAAGUGGGGUCAAUCGAGUCGUUAGGGUUUGGGGAUCACGCUGAUGCCCUUGGCUUGGCCGGAGACCUUGCCGUCGCAGAGAAAUCGCCGGCGAAAGUCGCCUCGGCCGCGAGGAAGAAGAGCCUGACAGAUGGGACCCACUGUCAGCGACUCUCUCUUUCCCUCCUUUUCUUUUAUUCAAAAUCCUGAUUUUUGGCUUUCUUGCAAAAAUCAUAUCUCCAGUUUCUGAGAUCCAAAAGUUGUGAAACAAAUUUUUGUGGAGUUUCUUGAGAUAGCUAGUAUUUAAUAAAAAUAUAAAAUGAAUAAUGUUUUCUGAGAAAUCAUUUAUUAAGGAUUUAAUCUUGUUAUUUAUGGAAAAAUGCAUAUCUCUUGUUAUACUGCUUAGUUUGCUUUGGAAAUUUUAUGGUAGCCUUUGCAUGGCAUUAGAGUGCUCUGAUAAUUAUUUCAUGAUUUUUAGAGCACUGCAGUUCGGAUACGUAAUUUGUGUUUGAGAUAUGGCUUGUUUCUUUAAAUAAAUCAUAUAAAAUAAUUGGUGCUUAUGCUGAUGUUCUACUUUGGUGGUAAGUUUGUUUAUGGUACUCCUAAGAUGUAAAUAAUCUGAAAUCUGUUGUUUAACACCAUAUAAGUAUUGUUUCCAAAUUUAUGAAAUAAAUGCCUUGAUACGUGUUAAAUACAUAUCUUUAUUUUGGUAUGUGCAAUUGCUGUGAAAUUUUUAUGGUGAUACUUUGAUGGUGUCCUUGUGCUUCUGUAAUUUGUGUAGAUUUUUCAGAGCAUUUGAACUAGUAUCUUGUAAUUAUGCUCUUAUUUAGAGUUAAUUAAUAAAUGUCUUGUUAAAUAAAUGUUUUGGGGUUUCCAUCUGAUGAUCUGGUAACCUUGUAAUAUGUUUGUGCUCAUAGGCCAUGUGGUUGGCAUGGUUUGUGUCUUGAUCAUGUCAUUAAAUAAUUAACUAUAGGGUUAAAUGCUGUUCUGGACAGCAAGGUAGCAAUUUGGUUAUUACUUAAUGAUAACUUGACUUUCUGUGGAACUUGUCUAAAGCAAAGAUGUUCCAAACUUGUUGAACUAACUAUGGUUUAAAUUUGAGGUCGUUUGGCCAAGUAGUUUAAAAGUUAUAGCUGUUUCAAGUUGGGUUCCAGGAAUAGGUGUUCUCUGUUUUUCUGGGACAGAACCUGGAACUUUGUUUAAAUGACCAGUCUCAUGUAUGAAUCUUGCUGUCAUGUUUAAAUAUUAAUUGUAGACAAUUUCAUAAGCUUUCCAGAAUGUCCUUACUCAUGUUUGUUGGACCUGCCUAUCUUUAGUUAUGAUUUAUUUACUGAGCCUCUCUGUUUGUGUGUUUGCUGCCUUAGUGUCUUGAAAGGUUUUGGGUUAUGUUAACUUGUUCAAUUAUGCGAGUUAGUAUAACUUUUGUCCGUAAAUGAGUGUCCAGUGAGUUGCUUGUGUCAUUAAGCAUUCAUCGUUAGCAUGUGCAUUAUCUUAUCGUUCGAGCAUGCAAUAGGUGCACCGGACGUGGCAGUUUCCUUCGAGCUCCAAGCGACUCCCGAAGGUCAUGAGGGCAGCCAGGAGGUGGAGGUCCAGCAAGCCGGACUCGAGGAGCCCGAAGAAGAAGUUGAGUGCCCGAAUCACGAGCCGGCAUCGUUCGUGAAAGGCAAGCCCCGGAGCAUUCUAAGUCUCCUUCUAUUUUCGAAAGUUUACUUAAUAUGUUAUACCUAUUGAUGCAUUAAGUCUAGGAGUUGUGAUGAAACUGUUGCUGCAUUCUACUCUAUCCUUGUCCAGAUAACUCACCCUCCCUGGUUGUAGAGUUAGGAUCGAGUAGCAGCUUAGAUAUGCUUUAAUCGGUAGAAGUCGGGUGAUAUCCUGUCAUCCGCGCGAUAUAGGGUUAUGUCGGAUCACGAUGGUCUAUAUGUGCUAUCGUGGAUGGAACCUGAUUAAAGCGACUUAAGCCGGGCGGAGUUUUGCAAGUUUGUAGUAACUCCGUCUGUGGCAGCUAAGGACUGAUCGUUGUACGUCCUCUUGUCAUGUUGAACGCAUGCCUAACACUUAGUUGGCCGGAUAACUCGUUCCGACCGCGAAGCCGAGUAGUAUGACUCAGGCCGGAAGACCGGCAAGUAUAAAGUGCGCACUACCGGAGGAAGUGCGGUGUGCGGGGGACCAUUGGCGUAAGUCCAAAGGCAGGUGAGUUAAAAUUCCUGACCUCCCUGGCAGAGUGGUAGCCCUGGGAGUGCGGCGCUGAUCGGAACCGCGAUUUCUGAGUUGUACCAAAGGUGACCCGUGGGCUCUCCGGCAGGGGAUGCCUGGGUGAGUGCUAGGAAUAAUCCUCCAGCUGGAUAGGAAUUUGAUUCGAAUCGCCGUCUCUCCCGGUUAGUGAGAACUUGACAGAGCAGCGGCAAACGUAGCAUUCACUAAUGAAUUUGGUUCAUGAUAAUGAUGAUAGCAAGAAGAACAUAUGAUGAAUUUGAUAUGGUUAUUAUUGUUUGUAAUAAUCAAGUGAUGUGUUGUAGUACAGGUGCUAAUCUAGUGGUAAGCUGAUGAUAAAUAAAUAUGAUGCUCUUAAAAUAACUUGGUUGUAAGUUAAGCUUUUGGCAAAAGGUGAGUCAACCAACUCCACCUAAGAUUUAGCCUUGCAUGAUCCUUGGUGUCUUUUGUGUUUUACUAGACGGGUAAGUCUAGCUGAGUACAUCCUCGUACUCAGGGUUUAUUCCCACCUGUUGCAGAUGAUAUCUUCUAUGACGGUUUCUGCAAGACCUGUCUCCAUCCCGCUGGGGAUGAGGACUAACCGUUGGGCACGGUUCUCUACUCUUCUCGUCUAUGAGGCUUUUGGAAGGAUGGCAUAGACUCUGGCAGUAACAAAACUUGUGAACUGAACUUUGAACAAGUGUGUGUAACUAUUUUGCUUCCGCUACUUCAAACUUGGGUUGUAAUAACUUAAUGACUCCGAUGUGGUGCCGCUUCAUCGGCAAUGACUGACUAUGUAACAUUCGUUGUGUUUAUGUUGAACUAUUACGAUCUUGGUUUGUUGCGAGUUGGUUUGAAGUCCUUCGUGAUUUCGAUUGACUACCGGGAUUAUAUGGGCUCAAGUUUAGAAAUUUGAUUGUUUGACGAUCGUUUCUGCACUUGAACUCAUAUAAUUUGGUCGGUUCUGUGACAUAAGGGAUCAAGGAAAACCGUGCGAAUAAUGUCGGUUUGAUCCGACGGCCCAGAUUCAUCUGAAAAGACUAUAUAAGCAAGGCCCCCUGGCCCCUAGAGAUCAUACCUCUUCUACAGAAUCAAAGCUAGGGUUUCAAUUCUUCAUCCAAGUAGAGAGGAUCUCUCUAGUUCAUCUAGUUCUACCUCUAGUUCAUCUAGUUCUAGUUCUAGUUCAUCUAGUUCUAGUUCUAGUUCAUCUAGUUCUAGUUCUAGUUCUAGUUAGUUCUAGUUGUAAUCUAGAAAAUAGGGAGAGAGAAGAGGAGAGCAGAGGAGGAGGAGCCGGAUCUGUCGGAUGUUCCUCAACAUUAUACUUUUGCAGCAACUGGUUCGUUCUUCAUCGUUCUCCAGGUUCUUCAAUUCAUAAUUCCUGAGUUCUUUAAUUACUUUUAUUUACAUUCAAGUUAUUUAUUAGAUUCCAGCUUGCAUCAAGUGCUCUAAUCUUUGCAACAUUAGAGUAGUAAUUAAUAGAUUAGACAUGGUGUUUAGUCUUGCAAUUACCUGGAAUUGCACCCAAUCCUGCGGAUUGUUGUGGUAGCCCUAGGUUAGUGACAGCCCUAACGGUCGACGUAUUCCACCUUGUUCGGAUCGGUGUUUGUAGGACCGUAUUCAGAGCUUCCUAGCCCCCUUCUCAUCUCUUCUGUGGUUAGUGUUCUGAUGUCCCGAAAUAAAUAAUCUUUGAAGUAAUUCUUGAUUCUUAGAUCAACUAGAGAACUCUCAGGAAACUUCCUCUCGUCCCAACAAAAAUAAUUAUAUAGUUAUCCUUGGGCGAUCUUGAAUUUUAAUUAGUACACUCACGUUCCCUGUGGAAAAUCGAUACUCUGGAAUACUCCCGGGUGAAAGCUACAUUGGUAUCCGUGCGCUUGCGGAUUUUUUCUGUUUGCGUUUAAAAUACCCAACAAGCUUUCUGGCGCCAUUUCCGGGGAACGGUAGCUGUGCUAGUUUUGAACCAAGUCGUCUGUGUAUCCUUUUUCUUUUCCCUUUUUACCACACUCACCUUACCAUUUUCACCACACCACAUGGAUUUCACUCCUAUCUAUAAAUUCUUUGCUCCAAAGGGUGAGUUAUUAGAGCCAUCACCAUCAUCACAUCCAAUUCUUACACAUGGCUACGACCUCGGCCCUGAUCUAAUAGCCAUGAUUCAGGAGCAACCCUUCUCUAGGCAAGUAGAUGAAGAUCCAUACACCCACCUUAGAGAAUUCUAGCAGUUGUGCUCUUGCCGAUCUAUUUCCGACAUGACACAAGAAACCCUUAAAUGGAAAUUAUUUCUAUUCUCCCUUUUGGGAAGAGCAAAAAAUUGGUAUGCUCAUUCUGUAGGAGGUGUUAAUGGAAAUUGGGAUGAACUUCGGGACAACUUUUGUCUCGCUUUCUUCCCACUUUUUCGAAUCGCUGACCUUAGAAUCAAAAUUCUUACAUUCAAACAAAGAGAGAAUGAAACUUUAGGAGCAGCUUGGGCUAGGUUCACAAGCCUUACCAAUUCUGGUCCAAACCUUGCCCUGCCUAACCAUGUACUGUACUACCACUUUUAUCAUGGUCUAAACAAGGAAGCUGCUCUUCACCUCGACAUUGCUUCAGGAGGCUCAUUCACACACAAACUCAUAGAUGAGGGGAGAGCUAUCCUAGAGAGAAUCCUUGAAAAUACCCCUUACACAGGCAUUUAUGAUGAGUUUCCUGAAGGAGAAAAAGAAGUCGAGCCUGAUCCUAAACCAAAAGAUGAGGAACUUGCAACCGAGUUAGAAAUUCCACCUGACCCAUCCAUUAAUUUGGUUGUAGAGAAACCUCAUGAUAAAGGAAUGCAAAACCAACUAAGGGAUGAUGAACCACCACCUUUAGAGCAUCCCUUUGAAUUUGAGGAAGAUCUUUUUGAAGAUUAUGGAAACACCUCGAAUUUUCCUAUCCAAACACGACCUCUAGCAGGGACCACUCAAUCCGUUCUAAGAUUAGAACCUAUUGACAUAGAACACAUCAAAAGGCUUUCGGCUAUUCUGAGUUAUGAAUGGCUAACAGAAGUAGAGCUGUCUCCUGAGGUAGCUCGGAUCAUCACUCCUUCAACCAUUCUUCUAUGCCAAAUUAGAAGGUCCGCAAGGAAGGUCCACUACAAUCCAUAUGUUGGGAUAAAUGUUAUUUCCAAGGAGUUAGCUGACACUCUUUAUCCCAACGAGUCCAUUUGGAUUAAUUCUAGAAAGCCAUGGGGUAUUAAGGGUAGUUCCUGUUAGAAUCAAGGACUCUGGAAUAUGUCUAGAUUUUCAUAUUUUUGACAUACCGGAGAUUCCUCUCUUGAUUGGCAGACCAAUCAUGAAACUUCUACAAGAACAACCACAACGAGGUCAUUUAGACUUCAAGGUUGGGAAUUCCACUAUUAUUGUUCCUCUUGCUAGAUCAAUUAACACGAUAGUGGAACCCAAACUUGAACCAGAUCCUAUUGAGGAGAUCUUAAUGCUGACUCAAGAGGAGAUGGCCCAACCAUUCUUUAAUCAUGAACACUUUGUUCAAGAAGAAGAGUUGGUAGAACCCGUUGAGCUAGACAAAAAUGAACAACCUUCACCUCCUUCGAUAGAAUUAAAACCUCUUCCUUCUGGCCUUAGAUAUGUCUUUUUGCACAACAACCCAAAAACUCCAGUAAUUAUCAACGACAAGCUUUCCAAUUAUGAAACACAACAACUUGUCACUAUUCUUGAAAGGCAUAGAUCAGCAUUUGGCUACUCUCUCGAAUAUCUCACAGGCAUUAGUCCCAUUCUCUGCACUCAUUGUAUCCCUAUUGAUCCCAAUUUUACACCUUCAAGGGAACCACAACGGAGACUUAACAAUGCUAUGCGAGAGGUUGUUAAGAAAGAGGUCCUCAAACUCUAUCAUGCUGGAAUUAUUUAUCCUGUGCCACAUAGUGAGUGGGUUAGCCCUGUCCAAGUAUUGCCAAAGAAAGGAGGAAUGAUGGUCGUUAGGAAUGAGAAGAAUGAACUCAUCCCUCAAUGAAUUGUCACUAGGUGGCGUAUGUGUAUUGACUAUCGAAAACUCAACAAGGCUACAAAUAAAGAUCACUUUCCGUUACCCUUCAUUGAUGAAAUGUUGGAACGGCUUGCAAACCACUCUUUCUUCUGUUUCCUUGAUGGUUAUUCUAGAUAUCACUAAAUCCCAAUCCACCCAGAUGACUAAGAAAAGACUACCUUUACAUGCCCGUAUGGAACUUUUGCAUACCGACGAAUGUCGUUCGGAUUGUGCAAUGCUCCAGCUUCUUUCCAACGGUGCAUGAUGUCUAUUUUCUCGGACAUGAUUGAGAAGAUCAUGGAGGUUUUCAUGGAUGAUUUUACCGUCUAUGGCAAAACCUUCGAUCAUUGUUUGGAGAAUUUAGAUAGAGUCUUGCAGCGAUGUGAAGAAAAGCACUUAAUCCUGAACUAGGAGAAAUGCCAUUUUAUGGUUCAGGAAGGAAUAGUGCUAGGACAUAAAGUGUCUGAACGUGGUAUAGAGGUGGACAAAGCAAAGAUUGAAGUUAUUGAAAAACUUCCACCUCCCACGAAUGUGAAAGGAAUCCGUAGCUUUUUGGGACAUGCAGGGUUCUAUAGACGCUUUAUAAAGAACUUUUCUCAAAUUGCUAGACCCCUAACUAGUCUCCUAGCUAAGGAUGCACCUUUCAUCUUUAGUGAUGAGUGUCAUGAAUCUUUUCAAACUCUUAAGAAAGCUCUCAUCUCAGCCCUGAUUAUCCAACCACCUGAUUGGAAUCUUCCUUUUGAGAUCUUGUGUGAUGCUAGCGAUUUUGCGGUUGGUGCCGUUUUAGGACAAACCAAGGAUAAAAAGCAUUAUGCCAUAUCCUAUGCUAGCAAAACCCUAUUUGGACCACAGCUUAAUUACACUACAACUGAAAAAGUGCUUUUGGCUGUUGUCUUUGCUAUAGACAAGUUUAGAUCUUACUUAGUGGGGGCAAAGAUAAUCAUCUGUUCAGACCAUGCUGCUCUCAAGUACCUCCUCACUAAGAAAGAUGCUAAGCCUCGUCUAAUUCGAUGGAUUCUUCUACUCCAAGACUUUGACAUAGAAAUCCGAGAUAGGAAGGGAGUUGAGAAUUCUGUAGCCGACCACUUGUCUAGGCUUCAGUAUUUGGAAACGCGUGAUGAGAUUCCCAUAAAUGACUACCUAAGGGAUGACACCCUACUUAAGAUAACACAGGCAGAUCCAUGGUACGCAUACAUCGUAAACUUUAUAGUAAAAGGCUAUGUCCCACCUGGUACAAACAAAAGGAAGUUGCUUCACGAUAGUCGUUUCCACCUUUGGAUGAGCCAUAUCGAUUCUGAGUCUGCGCUGAUGGACUCUUGAGAAGUUGUGUUCCUAUGGCUGAGGCUACUCAAAUUAUGGAAAGAUGACAUGCCUCACCAUAUGGAGGACACUAUGGAGCAUUCCAGACACAUGCAACAAUUUGGCAAAGUGUUUUCUUCUGGCCAACAAUGUAUGAAGAUACAAAGGACUUUGUCAGGAGAUGCCACCGAUGUCAAAAACAUGGGAAUAUCAUCUCACGAAAUGAAAUGCCUCUCACAAAUAAUCUUUAAGUAGAACUUUUCGAUGUAUGGGGCAUUGAUUUCAUGGGGCCAUUCCCUAUGUCCAGGAAUUGCGAAUAUAUCUUAGUAGCUAUGGACUACGUGUCCAAAUGGGUAGAAGCCCUACCUUGUCGAUCAGCUGAUUCAAAACAUGCCAAGAUAAUGUUCCAUGAAGUAAUCUUUCCUCGCUUUGGUAUACCCCGGAUAGUUAUAAGCGAUGGAGGUUCCUGUUGGGUAUUCUUAACAUCAUUACCAAAAGUAGACUAAGUUCUCUAAAUCUAGUAACGGUGCCAAAAAUGCCAAACCUAUCCCUCACACCACUUAAGCCAAGUUGUCAUCCCCAGCAUGAUAUGAGAGACGCGGUAUUGAAAUAUGCAAUUGCUCUUCUAAAUAAAUAAUGAAUGGGAUCUGCAAGCGCACAGAUUAAUACCGAUGCAGCAUUUUAACCGGGAAGUAUUCUAGGUAUCGUUAUUUAUAUUUUUACCACUAGGAAGGGAUUAGCAAUCAUCAAUAUUGAUUACAGAAUAGAAUAUGAGAUUGAGCAUAUAUCAUUGCAUGUAUAAUUGAGAACAUUAUAUCUAACUCUUCAUACAGGGAUAAGUGUCACAUAAAGGAUAUAUGAAAUAAUAAUAGUGACAAGGAUAACUAAUCUGAUCUAGCCACAUAAUAAAUAUUAUAAGCACCUCAAUUAGAUACUCUAGAAAGUCAUUAGCAUGGUAUUAGAACGAACUACAAGAAUAUUCCCUAAGUUAUUCUCAACUAUAUAGUCUAGCAUUAUCAUAGUUAGUGCAAGCAUACUUAGCAAUCAUUGCGAGACAAGACUACGCCCAUGCAUAGUGAUAUUAGCAAGGAAUAUGAGAAACAUAGCAAUCACUCCCCUGUAAUAAUGUUGCUCUGCCAGCCCAAUACACGAGAGGGGGACUAUAUAAGAAUCAAUGAAGCUGUCACUAUCACGAACCACCCCACGAUCUGGCAUAUUGGGUACAAUCGCAGAUAAAUACGGUAUAAGCACCACGCCUACAAAAUAUCUAUCAUUUACCCAUGGAUCCGAUGGAUAAACGCUAUACGAUCCUAAGCAUGUAUAUAGAUCGUAUCUAACUAAGCCAAGUACAUAACUAUGAUAAACUAAGAACAAUAUAAUCUUGAAUAUAAGCAAGUAGAGCAAAGUCAUAAGCAAUAUAUUGAAGUAGAACAAAGUCAUAUUCAUAAUAUUGAAGAACAAAGAUAAUUAGAAAGCAAUUAGAAGCACAAUUAGAGAAUUACCAAGAAUCCUCUUGACAGAUCCGGAAACCAAUCGAAGAUUGACUCCUUCUAUUUCUAAUCCUAUGUAGCUAUGCUAAUCUAGAUGUCUAAUUGAUGUGGUGGCUCUAAUCUUGAUCAGAGGCUUCUUCUCCCUUGAUGGAACAAUGAACUAGGGUUGAGAGGCUCUCUCCUACAGGGGCCAGGGGGUCUGGUUUUAUAGUCCCUUCAAGUGAAUAUGGGCCCUUGGAUCAAACCGACAUAGAUUGUAUGGUUUAGAUUCAUCCUUUAGGUCGGUGGAGAUCUCCCGCGAAGCAGAGUCCUGAUUGGACUCAGGGGCAGGGCGGGCGCCCUGACUAACUGGGCGGCCGCCCAGGGUCUGGCCCCGUUUCGCCUCCGCUUCGGUCUCGUGGCUUCUGGAGUCUUCUAGAUGUGAGAUAAUUGCGCAGCACGUUAAUAUCUUUACGUAAUCCCGACAUGUGGGCCUUUCUUCUAUAUUUCCUGAUAACCCCCUGCAGAAAUAGACAAACACCAAAACUCGUGGAAUUCUGUCAGAUAAAACCCUAAGUCUAGAUCUUGAUUUCAUUUGGAUCCUUUUCUUUAUUUAUUUGAUAAUUAAAUUUGAUACUUAAGGACCGUCAACAAACUCCCCCAAGCUUACCUCUUGCUCGUCCCUGAGCAAGGAUAGACUCAGCUAUGGAUCAUAAGUUGUUGCAUUAUAUUUUAAAAAUUUGACGGUACACAUGCUUUUAAAUAAGAUCUCAUCUCUGAGUUAGAGUAAACUGUCAAGACUUAAAACUUACUUACUUUACCUUUACCAUGGGACUUGUAACUGACACUUCUGUCUUGAGUGGUUAAAAGAUAGAACAGUCUAGCCAAGUGCCAUGUCUCUUAUUCUUGAUCAGCUAUAGCUCUGGGGUUUUUGCAGAUUUUCAAAUAAAACUCAGAAAUUCCUUGUAUGAUUCUCUCAGGUCUCUCUUUUGUGGUAUUUUUGGAUCCUUACCAAGGCAUUGAUGGUAUAUGCCUUCUCUCAAGAUAUGUAAUAUUUGUGGUAUAAGGCAUAGUGACAUUGCCUUCUCUCUCACCCUACUCUAAUAAGGCUUUAAUAUCUGAAGCUCAUAGGUGGGAGAUAAAAUAUACAUACUUACAAGACAUUUGUUGCAUAGUCAAACCAUGGAUCCAAAGUAACAAGCCAAUAAGUUUAAUCAAGAUGUGCAUGGGUGGCGAAUGAAUGGUGUAUGGUGGUGAUAGUGAUAACAAUGGUGAAAACAAUGGUGGUGGAAGUCUAAUUCUACUUUGCUCUUUGAGGGGAUACAUACCUUCCUUGCUAUUGAAACUUUAUGAGGAGAAUGAGAUGCUCUUCUUUUUUUUCAGGUGGGUAUCUUGCACCCCUAAUUCUACUAUCGGACACUUGUCCAUUUUUACCUCUCGUCUCACUUUUUCUUUUCUUUCGAGGUUCCGAGCACUUGCUCCUUUUUAUUUCCUCGUAUAUUUUUUUAGAGCACUCAUCUCUUGAGAUAAUAUAGCAAGUGGUAGUAACAAGAUAACUUGAGCAUUUAUUUCACAAGGGGAAAACAGAAAUAUUUUUGGUUAUUCUCUCCCGGAUUAGGAGUAGAAUAUUUUUGGGUGAUUCUGGAGAUGGAAUGGGUGGAUAUAUGUGGAUGGUACUUCUGGAGUAGAAGUAGCAUAUAUGAGUGAACGUACAAGUGAAUCUUGAUUUAACCACAUGACAAGCUCCUAAGGGUCUACACAGCUUGACCACACUCAAUGCUCAUAAGCAGUAAAUAUUAAAUGUGUGGCUCAAAGUCUAGCAAGCAUGUAUAUAUGGCUGUGGUAGGAAUUUAAACUCUCAUCAUACAGGAACUCAUCAUGCAACAUUUUAAAGAUUUUCAAAGAUAAAAUUCUCCAGAAUUCUAGCAUCUCUAGGAACAGAUAAACAGCACCUCAACCUUCCCAUAUCAUAUCCGUUAACAACUUACACUUCAGAUCAAGUUUUCAUCCCACAAGUUUAGGUCUAGAGCAAGCUUUAAAUUAUAACAGUUAUAUCUAAAAUUGAGAGAGAACUUAAAAUGUGCACAUUAGGCAGAGCAACUAUUCAUCAUAUCCAUGCUUAAGUUUUAUUUAGAUACAGAUUAGCAUAGCCACUUUAUUUAUUUAUUAAACACACUAAGCAAAAGACAUAUAUAAGCAUAAAAUCUUUAUUUGGUUUUCCCAUAGUUUAUGUGUAUUUUAAUAUUCUAAAAUAAUAUAAGUAUAAAGAUAGAUAGAAAUACUUAUCGUGAUAAAUGGGGGUGCUCUCCCCCAAGCUGAAUUUUGACGUAAUUUCUCUUGGUGUAGCUAGCAGGUGGUAGAGGUGUAUUUGAAAGUCAGCAGCAUUCUGACAGCGAUUAGAAUGUCCUCCGUCUACUAGUCUUCUUGAUUCUUAAAUUUCUGUGGAGCUCAAAUAGACAACAAAGCUUGUGGAACUUAUUAAGUGUUAGCAUAAAUAUCUAGCCUUUAUUAUCUUGAGACUCCUUAAUAAAUAUUACUCCCUGUUUUUAUAUUUUUGUUUUAUAAAGCAGAAAAAUAUUUAUUUUAUUUUUAUGCCACCACAGUGAAUGUGCUUAUGGGUUUUAUGCCACUUGUCUACUCACAUGGGGCUUAUAGUUUUUAACAUUUUUAUUUUCUUUUUAAGAUAGUGUGAAUAUGAUUAACUAAGUAAACUAUUUGAAAUAACUGAAAGGGAAAGGAUAACUACCAAGUUUACCUCUUGGCAAGGCGUUCGGUGUUUUUAAGUCCUCCGAACGGGACUCUCCAAUUUCUUAAUUGUCCUGAGGUUCGUUGGGUGGCGUAGUCGGUACUUCCGGCAGCGCCUCCUCUUCUUGUAUAGUUAUCUUCAUUUUCCAUACCUGACUAGGUGCUUCGAUCUCCUCUGGAUAAUUCUGUUUAAAUUCAACGUCUUCUGACCUUACAACUUCUCCUUCAUAGUCUGCCCAUCCGUCCUUGAUGAUCUGCCUCCUCUGGUUGCGGUUCCGUCUUUUUCUGACCUGCUUAGAUUCUUCAAUGAUAUAGUUAGGGUCAGUAAAAUAACGGCGUACCUUCUCUGAGGGGAAGUGCAUAUGGACUUCUCCGGUUCCAAUGUAGAUAAUUGCUUUAACGGUGCUGAGGAAUGGUCUUCCAAGGAUGAUGGGUGGAUCAUAUUCAUCUUCUCCCAUGUCAACAACUUGAAAGUCUGUGUAGACAAAGUGAUCGUCUAUUUUGACUGGGACAUCAGAUACUAUUCCUUUAACUUCUCGAAAUGUCUGAUCUGCCAUCUGGAGCUAAAUGUAUGUUGGUCUUAGUGGCAUGGUCCCGAAUAAGAGCCGAUAAGUGACUGCGGCCAUUAUGUUGACGCCCGAUCCGGUGUCGCAAAUCGUCUUGUAGAAGUUGUAUCCAUUUAUGGAGCAAUAGAUGCUUGGCAUUCCUGGGUCGUCCUUCUUGGUCAAAAACGGUGACUUAAGUUGAUGAUCUUGGCCUCCAUGGACUACAUUGACCAUCUUAGCUGACUCGGUCCACGCUUGUUCCUGUUCCUCCUGUUGGUCCUCUUCCUUGAUUCACGUCUGGAUUGAUCUUGAAUUUGUGUAGUCUUGUUCUUGAAGAAAAAUGUCUCCUUCUUCCCUUUGACGUAGAAACUGAUCUUGGCAGCACUAGCGAAGAUGAUAGCUCCCGUGGUGUUCAAGAAUGGCCUCCCUAGGAUGAUAGGUGCUCUCUCAUCAUUUUCGGUCUCUACCACUACGAAGUCUGCUGGGGCAUAUAAGGUACCAACUCGGACACAAAGGUUCCUCACUAUUCCCUUUGGAAAAGUUAUCGUCUAAUCUGCAAACUGCAAACACAUGUUUGUUUCUAAUAAAGGAUAUGUAAAGAAUUUUUCAUAGAGUACCCUGGGUAUAAUGUUGACACUGGAGCCAAAGUCACAGAGUGCUUCUGGGAAGUCCACCAUGCCGAUGGAGAUCGGGAUGACGGGGCGUCCUGGAUCGCCUCUCUUGACCGGUAGAAGGUCAGUAGAAAAUUCAGUGACGGGGUUACUCCAAUUACCUGCAUCAAACAUGUCUACAAGAUUUGCAGAUUCUAAUCCUUCCGGUUGUGAUGGUAUACCGGGGUUAGUAGUAGGAACAGCAGCAGCUAUUUGAUUUAAUUGGGAUUCAAUCAUUUUAUUAAAGCUAAUUUGAUUCUUGAUGGCAGUAGAGAAAUUAUCCAUCCUAUUAUUUAUAUUUUCUAGCAUUUUAUCAUUAGAUGCCAAUUUCUUAGAUAGGUUAUCCAUUAGCUUUCCUAGAUUAGAUACUAACUCUCUCAAAGGUGGAAAAUUAUUAUUAUUGUUGUAAGAAUUGUUACCUUGAUAAUUACCUGAGUAGUUAGGCCUCUAUUGAUUCCAACCUUGAUUUUGUUGAGGACGGUUGUAGUAGUUGUUGUUGUUGAUGUAGUUCACAUCCUCAAGCAUCUCCGGGCAGUGAUUGCCUGAGUGUCCAGUGUCUCCACACUCCUCACAAGUCAUGUAAGAGUCGUAGAUGUGCAUAACUUCUUUCUUGUCUCUAGCUCUAUCGUCGAGCUUCUUCAUGAGCAGGUCUAGCUUUGCAGACAGCAUGUCUACCUCCUUCAGCUGAUGCAUACCUCCACCUCUCUUGCGUGUCUGGCUCCUCUCUUCAUUCCAGCUUUGAUUGGACGCCAUCUUUUCCACAAGAGCUGUGGCUUGUGGUAUAUUAAGUGAUAAGAAUGCUCCUCCAGCUGCAGCAUCCAUGGUCUCUCGGGCACUGUUGCCGAGCCCAUGAUAAAACGUCUGCAUCAAUAGCCAACUCUCCAUUCCAUGAUGAGGACAUUCUAGGAUGUAGUCUUGAAAGCGCUCCCAUGCUUCUGGAACAGAUUCAUCAUUUUGUUGCUGAAAAACUUGUAAUCUUCCCACGGAGAGCAUUGGUCUUGCCCAUGGGAAAGAACUUAGCCAGGAAGUUUGUUGAGCAGAGUGCCCACGUAGUAUUCUUCUCCUUUGUAGCGUAGAACCACUGCUUCGCUCUUCCUAACAGUGAGAAUGGGAAGAGGCAAAGUAGUAUAGCGUCUUUGGAAACUCCUGCUAUGGUGAAUGUGUUGCAAAUCUCUAGGAAGUGUUGUAAAUGAGCACUAGCAUCUUCGUGUGCCUUCCCACAGAACUGGUUGGAUUGCACCAUGUUGAUAAGUCCAGGCUUGAGCUCAAAGUUGCCGUCGAUCUCUGCAGCAGGUCCAGUGCGGAUGUUGUCCGUAGUGGGAGCUGAGAACUCGCGGAUCGAUUUGUUCGCCAUGGCUUCGAACUCUGAAGACAAGUUCCGGUGAUCUUCUUGAUUGGAUGAAGCUUCUUGCUGAAGUGUUGAUGAUUUCUUUAGCUUGGCUCUCGUCUUCUUGAAUAAUGCUUCGGGAUUGUCAACAAAAUUUCAUCCAAUCAAGAAGAUGUCUUCUAUUCAUACAUUCCCCUACAUAAGAUAAAAUAGAAAAAUAUCGGGGUAAAACUAUAUGAGAGAAAAGAUAAGCUCAAUCAUAUUAGUGAUGCGAAUGAUUACUCAAAAUCUUUUAUUCCAUUCCUGAUUAGUAAUCAACCUUCCCCGGCAACGGCGCCAAAAAUGCUUGUUGGGUAUUCUUAACAUCAUUACCAAAAGUAGACUAAGUUCUCUAAAUCUAGUAACGGUGCCAAAAAUGCCAAACCUAUCCCUCACACCACUUAAGCCAAGUUGUCAUCCCCAGCAUGAUAUGAGUGACGCGGUAUUGAAAUAUGCAAUUGCUCUUCUAAAUAAAUAAUGAAUGGGAUCUGCAAGCGCACAGAUUAAUACCGAUGCAGCAUUUUAACCGGGAAGUAUUCCAGGUAUCGUUAUUUAUAUUUUUACCACUGGGAAGGGAUUAGCAAUCAUCAAUAUUGAUUACAGAAUAGAAUAUGAGAUUGAGCAUAUAUCAUUGCAUGUAUAAUUGAGAACAUUAUAUCUAACUCUUCAUACAGGGAUAAGUGUCACAUAAAGGAUAUAUGAAAUAAUAAUAGUGACAAGGAUAACUAAUCUGAUCUAGCCACAUAAUAAAUAUGAUAAGCACCUCAAUUAGAUACUCUAGAAAGUCAUUAGCAUGGUAUUAGAACGAACUACAAGAAUAUUCCCUAAGUUAUUCUCAACUAUAUAGUCUAGCAUUAUCAUAGUUAGUGCAAGCAUACUUAGCAAUCAUUGCGAGACAAGACUACGCCCAUGCAUAGUGAUAUUAGCAAGGAAUAUGAGAAACAUAGCAAUCACUCCCCUGUAAUAAUGUUGCUCUGCCAACCCAAUACACGAGAGGGGGACUAUAUAAGAAUCAAUGAAGCUGUCACUAUCACGAACCACCCCACGAUCUGGCAUAUUGGGUACAAUCGCAGAUAAAUACGGUAUAAGCACCACGCCUACACAAUAUCUAUCAUUUACCCAUGGAUCCGAUGGAUAAACGCUAUACGAUCCUAAGCAUGUAUAUAGAUCGUAUCUAACUAAGCCAAGUACAUAACUAUGAUAAACUAAGAACAAUAUAAUCUUGAAUAUAAGCAAGUAGAGCAAAGUCAUAAGCAAUAUAUUGAAGUAGAACAAAGUCAUAUUCAUAAUAUUGAAGAACAAAGAUAAUUAGAAAGCAAUUAGAAGCACAAUUAGAGAAUUACCAAGAAUCCUCUUGACAGAUCCGGAAACCAAUCGAAGAUUGACUCCUUCUAGUUCUAAUCCUAUGUAGCUAUGCUAAUCUAGAUGUCUAAUUGAUGUGGUGGCUCUAAUCUUGAUCAGAGGCUUCUUCUCCCUUGAUGGAACAAUGAAUUAGGGUUGAGAGGCUCUCUCCUCCAGGGGCCAGGGGGUCUGGUUUUAUAGUCCCUUCAAGUGAAUAUGGGCCCUUGGAUCAAACCGACAUAGAUUGUAUGGUUUAGAUUCAUCCUUUAGGUCGGUGGAGAUCUCCCGUGAAGCAGAGUCCGGAUUGGACUCAGGGGCAGGGCGGGCGCCCUGACCAACUGGGCGGCCACCCAGGGUCUGGCCCCGUUUCGCCUCCGCUUCGGUCUCGUGGCUUCUGGAGUCUUCUAGAUGUAAGAUAAUUGCGCAGCACGUUAAUAUCUUUACGUAAUCCCGACAUGUGGGCCUUUCUUCCAUAUUUCCUGAUAACCCCCUGCAGAAAUAGACAAACACCAAAACUCGUGGAAUUCUGUCAGAUAAAACCCUAAGUCUAGAUCUUGAUUUCAUUUGGAUCCUUUUCUUUAUUUAUUUGAUAAUUAAAUUUGAUACUUAAGGACCGUCAACAGUUCCCACUUCAUCGACAAAAUCUUCCAAAAGUACCUAGCCGAUCAUGGAGUUCGACACAACGUCGCAACACCAUACCAUCCUCAGACUAGCGGUCAAGCCGAAACAUCUAACAAACAAAUCAAAAAUAUUUUACAAAAGACCGUAGAUGAGAUGGGUAAGGGGUGGAAGGACAAACUUCUUGAUGCACUUUGGGCAUAUAGAACUGCAUUCAAAACACCCAUAGGCAUGUCACCUUAUCCACUUGUAUAAAGACAGCUCGAGCUGCAGGUGGAGCAUUGCAGNNNNNNNNNNNNNNNNNNNNNNNNNNNNNNNNNNNNNNNNNNNNNNNNNNNNNNNNNNNNNNNNNNNNNNNNNNNNNNNNNNNNNNNNNNNNNNNNNNNNAUAAAUAAAUAAGUAAAAUAAUUUUGCAUAACCAUGAAACCCAAACAAAGUUUUUUUUGAGUAAUAUACAAUAGUUUUGUGUAAUCCUAAGUUUUAAAUAAAAUAAAAAGAAAGUCUGAUCCAAGUCUAGGUAAUUGACAAACAUGAUAUGAGAAAGUCUGAGCUACUAUUUAACUUGUUCCAAGUUUUGCUAGAGUUCUGGAGAUUUUAUCUUUUGAAAAUCUAAAAAUUCAAAGGAAAAAAAUGAUGAGAUCCUGUUUGACAUAAUACCUAGAGUCUUAUAAGAUAUCAAUAUUAAAACUGUGGGCACUUGCUUUGUUCAAGCCAUUGUUAAUUCUUGUAGUUUUGGUUGAGAGAAUUAUCAUGCUCCAAAGAUCAAGAUCUUUUUGUUUUAAAAAUAUAAAAGAUUCACUCUUCCGAAGUAUUAUUGCGUUAGAGGCAUGGGACUAUGCAAAAAUUUGAUUUGAAAAAAAAAGAGAGUGAGACGAGAGGUAAAAAUGGACACGUGUCCGAUAGUAGAAUUAGGGGUGUUUGCUGCCCACUCGAAAAAACAAAGAGAGAGAAAGAAACAAAAAUGAUAGCCCAUGGUCCCUCUAAUAAGCAAUAUGCCAGUAAGAGAUGACAAACUUUUCAAAGAGGUCAAAGGUCUUGAUCUAAGAGUAUGACAUUCCUCUCCCUUGCUCCGAGCAUUGACAUAGCAAAAUGCAAGGUAAGUAUGCUGUUGACACUUGCUAACACCACUUGAAUACUAGGUUGUCAUCCCCAACAUGGCACUAGAGUGUACUAUGGUAUUUAUACGCACACAGAUAAUCCGCAAGCCCACGGAUACCGUAAUAGCUUUUACCCGGUUAAAGGUUUUAUCGUAUCCAUAGGGAAACAGGAGAACUGAUCUACGCUCUAACUUAACCAAGAUAGAUAGAUAAGUGUAAAUAGGAAAGAUGGUAGAAUCGAAUAAGAACAAUAUUAAAGGUAAGAUAACAGUGGGUGAUAAUAUGGGAAUAGAGAAUAGAGCAAUCUAGUAUAUGGGCGAUGGUAGCAGAAUAGAGAGGAUAACUAUGGUUUCUCUACUUCAAAGGGGUAUGUCUAUGUCUGGGACGAACCACGUGAUAAGAAUACACCACAAAAGAUAUUUAUCCAUAGGUCAAUAAACCCUACCUGUCCUGCUAGCGAGAGGUGGACUACAGAGGACCAACAUGUACUGUCACCUACGCGGCCUACCACACGAUCCAGCUAGACAGGGGAUAUCCACAAGUAAUCUAGAUCUAAGCACCUCGCUUACACCUAUACUACAACUCUCACCUAUAGCGUCCUAUAGAUUAAAGUACUCAAAAGAGUUGUGAACCAGAACAUACAUGAUUAGUAAUUGCAUAAUGAAUUAUAAGUAGAUUACCAGAGUCAUCCCAUGAGCAAGCUUGAUUAGAGCUUGAUCUUGACGAAGUACAACCAGAGGAAGAACCGACAGGCCGGCCUCUCCUCUAAUCCUCCUUCGCUCUCCAUCUCGCUACUAUAUAGAUCUACUCUAGUUUAGAGAAGAGAGGAGAGCUCUCAUCUCUAAACCCUAGCUUUUGCUCUGUCUAUGAAUAAUGAAUAAUGAUCAAGGGGUGCCUCCUCUAGGGGCCAGGGGGUCUGGUUAUAUAGUCCCCUCAAGUGAACCUGGGCCGUCGGAUCAAACCGACAUUGAUCAAACCGACAUUGAUCCUUUAGGUCGGUGGAGAUCUCCCGAGAGAAAGAGUCCUGAUUGGGCUCCAAGUCAGGGCGGGCGCCCAGGGCAGGAGGGCGGGCGCCCUGCCUCUGGCCCCGUUCGGCCUCCGCUUCCUUCCCGUGGCUUCUGGAGUCUUCUAGAUGUAUGAUAAUUACACGGCACGUUAAUAUCUCUAUGUAAUCCCGACAUGUGGGCCUUUCUUCCAUAUUUCCAGAUAACCCCCUGCAGAAAUAGACAAACACCAAAACUCAUGGAAUUCUGUCAGAUAAAACCCUAAGUCUAGAUGUUGAUUUCAUUUGGAUCCUUUUCUUUGUUUAUUUGAUAAUUAAAUUUGAUACUUAAGGACCGUCAACAAACUCCCCCAAGCUUACCUCUUGCUCGUCCCUGAGCAAGGAUAGACUCAGCAAUGGAUCAGAAGUUGUUGCAAUAUCUUAAAAAUUUGACGGUACACAUGCUUUUAAAUAAGAUCUCAUCUCUGAGUUAGAGUAAACUGUCAAGAACUAAAACUUACUUACUUUAUCUUUCACCAUGGGACUUGUAACCAUCACUUCUGUCUUGAGUAGUUAAAGAUAGAACAGUCUAGCCAAGUGCCAUGUCUCUUAUUCUUGAUCAGCUAUAGCUCUAGAGUUUUUGCAGAUUUUCAAAUAAAACUCAGAGAUUCCUUGUAUGACUCUAUCUAGUCUCUCUUUUGUGGUAUUUCUAGAUCCUUACCAAGGCAGUGAUGGUAUAUGCCUUCUCUCAAAGUAUGUAGUAUUUGUGGUAUGAGGCAUAGUGAUAUUGCCUUCUCUCUCACCCUACUCUAAUAAGGUUUUGAUAUCUGGAGCUCAUAGGUGGGAGAUAAAGUAUACAUACUUACAAGACAUUUAUUGUAUAGUCAAACCAUGGACCAAAGAAACAAAUCAAUAAGCCAAAUCAAGAUGUGCAUGUGUGGCGAAUGAAUGGUGUAUGGUGAUGAUGGUGAUAACAAUGGUGGAAGUCUAAUUCUACUUUUGCUCUUUUGAGGGGAUACAUACCUUCCUUGCUUUUUUGAAACUUUAUGAGGAGAAUGAGAUGCUCUUCUUUUUCUUUCCUCUCAGGUGAGUAUCUUGUACCCCUAAUUCUACUGUCGGACACUUGUCCAUUUUUACCUCUCGUCUCACUUUUUCUUUCUUUCGAGGUUCCGGGCACAUGCCCCUUUUUAUUUCCUCGUUUAUUUUUUUUUCUUUUUUUUCAGAGCACUCAUCUCUUGAGAUAAUAUAGCAAGUGGUAGUAGCAAGAUAACUUGAGCAUUUAUUUCACAAGGGAAAACAAAAAUAUUUUUGGCUAUUCUCUCCUGGAUUAGGAGUAGAAUAUUUUUGGGUGGUUCUGGAGAUGGACAUGGCUGGAUAUAUGUGGAUGGUACUUCUGGAGUAGAAGUAGCAUAUAUGAGUGAACGUGCAAGUGAAUCUUGAUUUAACCACAUGACAAGCUCCUAAGGGUCUACACAGCUUGACCACACUCAAUGCUCAUAAGCAGUAAAUAGUAAAUGUGUGGCUCAAAGUCUAGCAAGCAUGUAUAUAUGGCUGUGGUAGGAAUUUAAACUUUCAUCAUACAGGAACUCAUCAUGCAAUAUUUUAAAGAUUUUUCAAAGAUAAAAUUCUCCAGAAUUCUAGCAUCUCUAGGAACAGAUAAAUAGCAGCUCAACCUUCCCAUAUCAUAUCCGUUAACAACUUAGAUUUCAGAUCAAGUUUUCAUCCCACAAGUUUAGAUCUAGAGCAAGCUUUAAAUUAUAACAGUUAUGUCUAAACUUGAGAGAGAACUUCAAAUUUGCAAAUUAGGCAGAGCAACUAUUCAUCAUUUCAUGCUAGAGUUUUAUUAUUAAGAUUCAGAUUAGCAUAGCCACUUUAUUUAUCUAUUAAGCACAUUAAGCAAAAGAUAUAUAUAUAAGCACAAAACCUUUAUUUGGUUUUUCAUAGUUUAUGUAUUUUAAUAUUCUAAUAUAAUAUAAGUAUAAAGAUAGGUAGAAAUACUUAGCGAGAUAAAUGAGGGUGCUCUCCCCCAAGCUGAAUUUUGACGUAAUUUCUCUUGAUGUAGCUAGCAGGUGGCAGAGGUGUAUUUGAAAGUCACCAGCAUUCUGACAGCGAUUAGAAUGUCCUCCGUCUGCUAGUCUUCUUGAUUCUUAAAUUCUGUGGAGCUCAAAUAGACAACAAAGCUUGUAGAACUAAUUAAGUGUUAGCAUAAAUAUCUAGCCUUCAUCAUGUUGAGCUUCCUCAAUAAAUAUUACUCCCUGUUUUUAUGUUUUAUUUUAUAAAGCAGAAAAGAAAUAUUUAUUUUAGUUUUAUGCCACCACAGUGAAGGUACUUAUGGGUUUUAUGCCACUCGUAUACGCACAUGGGGCUUAGUAUUUUUUAACAUUUUUAUUUUCUUCUCAAGAUAGCAUGAUUAACUAAUAAUCUACUUAAGGAAAGUAAAUAAUUAAAGGGGAAAGAGAAUGGAGAAAGGAUAAAUAUGGAUAACUACCGAUCUUACCUUUCGGCGAGGGUUCAAUGUUUUAAGUCUUCUUAACAAGACUUCUCACCGUGUUCAUUCUUCAGGUGCGUCAUUUGAUUCAGGUGCGGACCUUGACGUCUGCACCUCUUCGUUUGCCCAGCAGUUGGAAGUGCGGCGUUGGCAGUAUCCUGCUCAGUGUGUUUGUGCUCGUAGAUCCAGGUCCUUCACUUGGUAGAGUCUGAGAGUUAUAAAACUCCUCCGUGUUUUGCUCGAAGUGUACCUGCUCAUAGAGACAAGGCAGAGAUCAAGUGCAUGGGUCCUGUUGGUGAAAAACACCAACAGAACCUAAAGUGUAUUUGUUCUUCUCUAACCCUAAGCAUAGUGAGCAAGACAAAGUUGAUGGAUGAAAAGUUCAUGAGUGUAGCACUUAUAACAUUUGUCAUAUCAGAUCGCUCAACCUUAUGGAAAGAUAAUCUAUCUAUGUAUAUGUCUUUUCCUUUAUAUCUCUCAAUGAUUGAAUGUGUAACAUUUUAGCUCAUAUGAUUAGGAGUGUGGGAUCAUGGAGGUAGUACUAAGAACAAGGAUUAAAGGACUAAACAUGUUGAAUCAGUUGGGUUGGUUAAUCUAGAGUUGUAAAUCAUACAUGUUUGCCUCUUUUAUUUAUAUGAACGCCAGAACCAAAGAGAAGCUUAUAAAAGUGAUAGUCAAGUAUCUUAAGGUGUUACCUUACUUGAAGAGUGAUGGUGUAGUAUCACCUUGUGGAAGCUUUCCUUUCUUAGUGGUUGUGCAUCGUGUUUGUGGCACCCUCCAUGGAUUAUCUCUCUAUGAUGAAUGAGCUAUGUCCUUCUUGUGCAAAUUGUUAAACUUCAUGUGUCACUCACUUCGUCUCUGAUG